rnacentral:lncRNA from 1 species
UUUUUUUUUUUUUUUGUUCUUUUGAGACUUAAAUGGUAUGUUUAUAAAUCCAUAAACUCUAUUUAAAGCAAUACGAAAGCCAAUAAAAUUUAUUGCAAAUUGACUAUAACAAAUUUUUUGUACAAAUCACACAAAUUGAAAAUUUAUAUAUAAUUGUAUUUGAGACCAAUUAAAAAGUUGAGAUGCAAUAUCAAAUUGAAAUUGAAAACAUAAAAUUGAUUUUGAUUAUUAUUAUUAUUAUUUAAAAUAAAACGAGACACCAUCGAGAGUUUUAGAUUUGAUUUAUAACCCCAAAUUGAAUGAUUUGAAUGGGCCUACUAUGUGAUAUGAAUGGGCCUACGGUGUGAUAUGAAUUGAAGGGAAGGGCCCAUUCUUGGUUUUGAAAAUGGGAGUUUCCAUCGCAUUCCCGCGCUUUGCUUUCUACCUAAAGUGAAACAAACUUGUUCGCUCUCUCUUCUCUUCUCUUUUCUUCUACGUCCUCAACCUCAAUUCUCUCAAUUGCACGACGAAACUGCAACCCAUUUCCACUUCUCCUCAACCAAUUACCAAACGUUCAUCAAUUCAUCUCUCAAUCACCUAAUUCACCAUCUUCUUACCCCUAAUUCCUGUUUUUCUUCUUUUAAGGAUAUAUCUUCUUACUUCCACCUACCCUUUCACCUCCGAUUCCCUCACCCUCCCUUCACUCAAAGGAUCUACUUCCAUUUCCCUUCCAGUCCACCUUUCUCAUUCGUUUCACCCAUUUCUUCUCCCAAAUGGUUUCCACCGAACCUGUGGAUGACCUGAUGCCCCAAACCGCGAAUUCUACCAAUGGAGCUUCCACAACUCCCAGGCUUUUCAUUAAGGAAAUGGUUUUGUCCAACUUCAAGUCCUACGCUGGUGAACAACGGGUUGGACCCUUCCAUAAGGUUGCUCAAUCAUUUCCAUCCUAGGGUUUUUCCAAUUUCCUGCUCACAAUUCAUUUUGUCGAAAUACUUCACUUCUCCUUUACUUCAAUUUUCUCCAUCUACAUUUUGUGGUUUCAGAGUUUCUCUGCAGUGGUUGGACCCAAUGGCAGUGGAAAAAGUAAUGUAAUUGAUGCCAUGUUAUUUGUCUUCGGAAAGCGAGCUAAACAGGUAGGUUCGCCUUUUGUUAGAGCUCACAAUACGACUUUGGCUGUGGAAUAUGUUUUCAAAUGUAAAGAGUGGAGAUUCAGUUUGCGCACUAUUUAGUUUACGGCUAUUACCUAACUAACCAUUUCUACAGUUUCACUUUCGUUUCUACUCAACUUUCUAUCUGAGUUUUUAAUCUAAUCUCAAUUGUUGUGCGUUUAGUUGCUCCACUAUCCACGAGCCAUCUUGUAGCAGUGUAUGCUUCAAGAGAUUUUCAGGAGUUCUCAACACUUGUCACGGAUUGGUUUGUGUUGAUUAGGGCACCCUAAACUUGAUUUAUCAUUGGCCUUGUGUUUCCCUCGAAGGAAAAACUCAUUGGUUGAGCUGUGCUUCCUGAAAUAAAACACUCUAGUUCUUUUCCAUGCAGCUCAACCAAGUUCAUCGACUUUCUCAUUAUGUUGUUCCUUUUAAUCAACUUCAUAGUGAGAUAUUGGACACCCAUUACCCAAGGGAUUCAAUAGAAGGUGGAUUUACUGAAGUGAUUGUAGUUGUACUCUUGAGGUUUCAGUUAGGCUUGCGCUUUCCACCAAAUUUCUAUAUGAAAACCAUGAAAUUAUCAUGGUUGUAGUUGUAGUCUUGCAUGUAGUGGUGUUUGUAAGGUAGCUCAACUUUUCAAGUGCCGUUGUGACGAGUAAAUUUUUUUUAUACGGGAUGAGAUUUUAGAUAAUGAGUGAAAGAUGAAGGUGAAACAAGAAGAUAUCAUAUACUGAAAUGAAUGAGUCAAUUCUUAUUGCUAUAAAUUGGACAUAGUAUAGAGGAAAGGGAAUAAUAAUGCAUGACUAUCAUUCUUACAUGGAGGCACAGUAUACAUAAAAAUGAUAUGAUCAAUACAAUGGAAUUGAGUUAUUAAAUUUUCCUUCUUGUUUCUAAUAGUAAAAAAUGAUUUGCAGAUGCGACUCAACAAAGUUUCGGAGCUAAUUCAUAAUUCUACCAAUCACCAGAAUUUAGAGAGUGCAAGUGUUUCAGUUCACUUCCAAGAAAUAGUUGAUCUGGUAAAUUUUGAUCAACAAUUCUUUUUUACUAUUUAAUGUCUGCCAUGUUUUCAUAAACUGUUAUUUUCUUAGAAUCAGUAACUCAGUAUUAUUUAUGUUGUUGACUAAAUUUGCAGGAUGAUGGAGCAUAUGAAGCUGUUCCAGGAAGUGACUUUGUUAUAACCCGGGCUGCCUUCCGUGAUAACUCUUCUAAAUAUUACAUUAAUAAUCGUGCAAGUAACUUCACUGAAGUUACCAAAAAAUUGAAGGGUAAAGGAGUUGACUUGGACAACAAUCGCUUUUUAAUUCUUCAGGUUAGUUCAAUAGCUCUGGUUGUAUUCUAGUGAAAUAUUUCUACAAAAUUUGUUAUAUCUUUGGUUUUAUUAGGGUGAAGUGGAGCAGAUUUCACUGAUGAAGCCAAAAGCUCAAGGACCUCAUGAUGAGGGCUUUCUUGAAUAUCUUGAGGAUAUAAUCGGAACCAUCAAAUAUGUUGAAAUGAUUGACGAGUCAAACAAGCAGUGAGUGUUUUUUUCCUCAAUUUUUUUGGUGGAUAGUUUCUUAUUGGUUUUCCUUGUCCAUCAACUGUGUCUUCUCUUGCACUGUAGUGCCAUUGUUCUGUGAGAGUGUUACCAUUAGCGCUCUUGGGACAUCUGUAGAUACUCCAAUAAUUGGUCUUAAGCGCUAGUUUCAUGGAGAAGAAACUAGUUCUACUAUACUGGUUUUUACAGUUAUUUAGUUUAAUUUAAAGGCUGACAAUAUACAAUUUAUCUAUUAUAUAGAAUAAGUGGGGAUUAAAAGAGAUAAAAAAAUAUUUUUCAUCUCCUUUCAAUUUUUGAGAUCAAAAUUACGUCGUCAAAUAAUUGUAUGAUAGUCCUAUAUUUUUCUUUUUUUUGAUAAGAGACAAGUAUAUUCAUAUAACAAAACAGAACAUCCUAAGGGCGAGGGACAAGAGGGCCCUCCCCGGAAGAAGCUAAGGAGCUAAGACAUAAUGGCCUUCCAAUUGUUGAAAAUCAUAGAAAGGCUAUAAUUACAAAAGUGUUUGGUGUAAUUCGUACUCCACCAAGAGGCUGUGUGUUGAAUCACAGUCCAAAAAGAAUCAAAAGAAUUAAAUCUAUCUUCAAAAAUUCUGCUAUUCCUUUCUUUCCAAAUGCUCCACAAAAGGGAACGCGUCGCACAUUUCCAUAAGAUGUUUCCUUUAGGGCUGUAACCUCUGAUGUUAAGACCUUCAAUCAUCCAGCUAACAAUCUUGCUAGGAAGGCAAAGCUCCAAAUCAAAAAUACCAAACAGAGUGUUCCAAGCUUUUCUUGUGAAGGGACAAUGUAAAAAUAAAUGAUCCAAGGUUUCCUCAUCUUUAGCGCAUAGGCAGCACAUCGAGGAGCUAAGCAAUGUGUUCUGAAUUUUUUUUUUGUAGUUUCUCAUGGGUGUUGAGGCUUCUGUAAGCAAGCGACCAUAAGAAAAACUUCACCUUCUUUGGGAUUUUAUUCUUCCAAAUCUGGCGAAUCAAGGGAACGGCAAUGUUGGGGGUUCUCUUAGUUAAGUUAAGAAAAGUGGAUUUUGUAGUGAAAUUGCCAUUCAUGUUAGGAGUCCAUUUAAGACUAUCCUUCCUUUCAGUGGGGGCCCAAGAGUGAAGAAUUUCUAAAGCUGAGGCCGCAUUGGCAAUCUCGUUGUCGAGCAUAUUUCUUCUAAGGCCCAAAUUCCAAGAGUAAGUAGCAGUACACCAGCAUUCAGCCACAUAAGCUUCCUUAUUCAGCGCCAAAGAGAAUAAGUUAGGGAAUUUUUCUGCAAGUGUUUCCGCGACACCAUUUAUCCUUCCAAAAUUUGAUUUUUGUUCCUUCUCCCAAAACAAAAGCAGAAAAAUUGAAGAAUAUCUCCUUAUGCUUUAAAAUACCAGCCCAUAAUCUAUGAGAUUUUCCCCUGUUUGGAUCUUUGGUAGACCACCCAUUCUCAUCUAAACCAUAGAUGGCCACAAUUAAUCGCCUCCAUAAUGAGGUUUCUUCCUUACUAAACCUCCAAAACCAUUUAGUGAGAAGAGCAAUAUUCUUUUGCCUAAAAGAGCCAAUCCCAAGACCACCAUAACAAGUUGGGGUGGAAGUGCAUUCCCAGUUGACGAGAUGAGCAAUUGGAUUCGUAGAUCCACCUGUCCAAACAAACUUCCUGAUCAUCUGUUCCAAUCUCUUAAUAACGCCAACUGGAGCUUGAGCAAGGGAGAAGAGAUAACAAGGGAGGCUGUUGAGAACUGAUUGCACCAGAGUUAGUCUACCACCUUUGGAGAGGGAUACAUUCCUCCACCUAUCAAAUUUGUGUUUGAAUCUCUCUUCAAGAUUGUUCCACAUCUCUUUUCUAUUAUGACCCCUUCCAAUAGAGAAGCCCAAAUAUUUAAAGGGAAGAUUAUCAACCAAGCAUCCCGUAGAUUCACUAAAAGGAGCUAAGUCAUCAUUGCUAAGGUUAAUACCGAUCAGGGAGGUUUUAGCUUUGUUAAGGGAAAGACCGGCUCCAUAAGAAAGAUAUUAACCACCUUCCACCAGUUCUCCAGAUUUCCAUCCUCCCAGGAAGAGAAAAGAAGCGUGUCGUCUGCGUACUGAAGAUGGGUUAAAUCUUCUGCCAGGUUCUCAAAAUGAAAGCCUCUUAAACUCCUUUUCUCAUUACAGUAGUGGAUAAGGCAGCUUAGAGCAUCUCCCACAAUCGUAAAAAGAAAAGGAGCAAGAGGAUCACCUUGACGAAUGCCCCUUUUAGCAAUAAUUUUUCCUCUAGGCCUCCCAUUGACAAUGAUGGAGAAAUUAGUUGUCGACAAGCAUCCCCAAAUCCAUUUCCUCCAUCUCUUACCAAAGCCUUUAAGUUUCAUGAUCAUAUCAAGAAAAGACUAAUCCACCUUAUCAUAGGCUUUCUCCAGAUCGAGUUUCAAAAGCACGCCUUUUCUGCCUCUUAAAGACCAUUCAUCAACAGCCUCGGAAGCAGUUAAAAUAGCAUCAAGGAUUUGCCUUCCCUCCACAAAAGCCAUUUGAGAGUCAUUAAUUAUCGAUGGAAGAACUUUUUUAAGCCUUGAAGCAAGCACCUUGGAGAUAAUUUUAUACAAGGAGGUGAUCAAGCUAAUUGGUCUGAAGUCACUGACACGGCCCGCCUCUUUCUUUUUGGGGAUGAGGCAAAUAUAAGUCUCGCUACAUAUAUUAAUAACUCCGUUUUUAAAAAAAUCUUGGAACACCCUUACGAGGUCGGACUUCAGAAUGUUCCAUGAUUUUUUAUAAAACGGAGUCAUGCCAUCAGGGCCAGGGGACUUGAGACAACCCAAGUCAAAGACAGCUUCUCUAAUUUCUUUUUCGGUAAAGGGAGCCUCAAGUAAAUUCGAAUCCUGUAAGCUAAGGCCUCUCCAAUUAAGACCGUCACAAAUAAACGGCGAUGAGAUCCUUGUGCCAUAUAACAUUGAAAAGAAGCUGAGGAUCUCAUCCACAAUCUCCUUCUCUGUGACAAGAGUCUUCCCAUCAAUACUAACCAAGGAAGAAAUAAUACUUUUACUUUUACGAGCCGAAACCCAUCUGUGGAAGAAGCUUGAGUUUUCCUCCCCCUCCCUAAGCCAGUGAAGCUUCGACUUCUGAAUCCACAACUUCUGUUCUUUCACAAUCAAAUCAAGCAGAGCCCCUCUACAAUUUUCUCUUUCCUUCACAUUUUCCUCGUUGAGGCAGCUUGACUCUUCAAGUGAGUCAAAAGAGUUAAUCUUUUGACUCACAUUUUCCUCGUUGAGGCAGCUUGACUCUUCAAGUGAGUCAAAAGAGUUAAUCUUAUCAAUCAGCACCUGUUUUUGGGAGAAAAUGUUACCAAAAGUCUCCUUAUUCCAACUUUUUAGGAUGGCUUUCAGACCUUUUAGCUUUUCCAUGAAAGAGAAUAUAGGCCAGCCAUCAACCUCCAAACUGCCCCACCAGUUCUCAACAUUUUUAAAGAAAAGAUGAUGAUCCAGCCAAGCAUUUUCAAAUCUAAAAGGUGUGGGACCCCAGGAAUGAGCCCCCAUUUUUAAAAUUAUCGGAAAGUGAUCCGAUGUGGUACGAGGAAGUCUUUCCACACUUACUUCUCUAAAGAACUCCAUCCAAGGCUUGGAAAGAAGGAAUCUGUCGAGCUUUGAAGCAGCGGGCCUAACCCCUGAUCGGGACCAAGAGAACCUUCCGUUUCGGAAGGGAAUAUCCACCAGAUCCAACUCCUCAAUCAGGUUGUUAAAUCGAAGCAUACUUCUAGUCGGGCGAGUGCCAGAGCUCUUCUCAUUUAACCAUCUGACUACAUUGAAGUCACCCCCUACGCACCAGUUAUCGUUGCACAAACCAUAUAAGCUAGAAAGCUCCAUCCAGAAUUGGUCUCUACGUUUAUAAGACGAGGGGCCGUAAACAGCCGUUAUCCAUCCACAGAAACCAGCAUUGAGUUUACAGUGAAUAGAAACAGAGAACUCCCCUUGAAUUGAGUCAUCUACCGUGAGUGAAUCCUCUUUCCACAAAAUAAGAAUACCACCCGACGAACCAUAAGCCUCUAAGGAAGCCCAUCCAACAAACCGACUACUCCAAACGGACUUCACCAACUGACGAUCGACACUGCUUACUUUAGUUUCUUGUAGAAUUACCACAUCUGGAUUGAAUUUCGUAAGCAACUCUUUCACAAUCGCUCUUUUGGGGCGAGCAUUAAUACCCCUUACAUUCCAAGAGAUAAUUAACAUGGAUCACCCUCACAGCCCAGCUUAUUAUUAUCUUUUUCCGCUUGGGCUUCCCUUUCCCAACUACCUAGCAGUGCUUUGACUUCUCUAGUAAGCUUUUUGUUGUUGUUCGAGGAGGCCCUAUGUUGUUUCCCUUUUCUGGUUACAGCCCGAAUGCAUAGAUCAUAUUCAAGUAGAGCCGCUAUCACCUCCUUACUCAAUGGAAAAGGAUUAUGUAUAGAAGCUGCUGGUUCUAACUCGGUUACGCUUUCAAUUUCAAAUAAUUCUUCAUUGGAAAAAGGAAGCUCACUGGUAUCCUCAACAGCUAUUAUCUGGAGACCCUCUUCCCUGUCUCUUUCCGUGGUGCUUACCUCGUGGAAGAGUCUUUGGACGUCGGAGGAAGAAUCCGAGAUGUGCUGCACGUCUUCGGCUUCAAGAGGAGCAAAUUUAUUUUCAGAGAUGAGGCUGCCCGAGCUAGAAAUAGAGACGUCCAAAGUUGGAUCUAUUUCUCCAUGAAUGCAGUCUGAUAUGAACGUUGAGGUUGAAGAGCCUCCCCUGCCGUCAGGUUGGUUUGUGGAGCAGAUCACACUGUUUUUAAAGAAAGGUCGAAUUUCUUCCUUUUCUGCAAACUUAAUUUUGGUGGGCUUGGGUAAUUUUAGUAACAGGGGUUGGUUGGCACGGUAGCUUGGGAAUUUUCUCUAAUAAAAAGCUGGUUUGCUUUUUAAUAUUGGUGGGCUGUUGAGUAAGUACUUCAUCCACUGCUAUGCCUUUCCCUUUUAAAUCAGGGAAGCCCACCUCUGUAAUGAGGCCCAUUUCAUUGGUCAAGCCCAAUUUAUUAGUCAAAUCCAUUAGGGUUUGCUUGGGCGGUAAAUUUGAAUUUGUUCCUCUAAUCUCUCCGUCAGUUUGCAGAGAAGGACAGAACUUCUCAGCUUCUUCUGUCGCCGUACUCACCAUCUCAGAAUUCUGAAAAGCGAAAACUGCCAGCCUUGAGUUCGACUUCUCCACACGCCAAAUAUCAAUCGGAUUCGGAUCCGGGCCACCCGGACCUUUGAAGAAAUUCUCAGCUUGUUCCGGCGAGAAGGAUCCAUGGAUUCCGGCGACUUUAUCAAUAAGAAGAUUGGGAUCUUGGAAGGACGCCACCUGCACAAGAUAAGAAUCGGGUCCUUCUAUCAGUUCAAAAUCCGCUGGAAUGAAGCCGCAGUAGUUCCCUCUAACUUUGAUAUUCACUUCCAAACAGUUAAUGAGGCUCGAAUUUUCUUCCGCAAACUCAAUGAAGCCUCCAAACUUAUCACCAACCCUCUUAAACACCUCCUCGUUCAACAAAUGCAGGGGAAAAUUUCUUAGUUUAAUCCAUCCUCCAUAAGAUGGAACAAGCGCCAUUCUCCCAUGUUUUUUUGGAUCCCACCAUUCCAUUUUCAAGGUUAAAGGGCCGUAGGUAGCCCAGUCCUUGUUCAUCGUGAGAAGUCUAGCUAUCGUCUGAUCAGGGCAUUCGAGCAAAGCUUUAUCAGCGUGGAACGGGUUGAUAAUAAAGGUUUUUUGUGUUUGAUUCUGAAGGACAUCCAGAAUCCUCUGCCAAUCGUCAUGGAAAUCGCGCUUAGUGACCACCAGUGUGUCCUCCCAGCAAAUCUUUCUAACUCUUUUUUCUCCUUUGCUUCUGCCUUCCUCUUGACUAAGAGUUACCCUUGGAUACCCUCCAUGGUUAGAGAUUCGCAAAGGAUGACGAGGCUGAUAAUGAGUUUCCAUUCUGUUUCCAAAAGAAGGCUUAUGGGUUAAUUUCUUCUCAGAAUGAAAGGCCCUAGAGUCGACUUCAUCAUUCAAAAAAUUCAUCAAUAAGCGCCUAAAACUUUCCCAUCCUUUUAAAUCAACACCAGCUGGGACCACUAUGUUUCCUUUUUUCCCUGACUUCAGCACCUUCGAAAUCUCCAAAAAGCUUCCUCUCUUGUUUGUCGUUUUUUGAAUCCAGGUGAAACCUCCAUUACAGAAUGUCUUUCUAAAAAAUUUUUGGGGCUUCGGGGUCUGCAGAACUUCCUCCAAGGAGUCAGUCAGUCAGCCAGCCAAAAAGGGUUUCCUCUCCUAAAAGGGUAUAUGACUUAUUCAAAUGAGCUUCGGUUAGGCGUAUCACCCUUCCUCUACUAUUCGAAUCAAACUCACACGAGAAGGAUUUAUUUUCGAUUUUUGUCGAAAUCCGUUUUGAUGUCCCCAUAUUCGUUCAGUGAGGAGAUGAUCGGAGAGGGUGAAGUCAGUCGGGGAUGAAGAGAUAAGCGGAGGAAGUAGGUAGAGCAGUGAGGACGGGAGGUUGCAGGUAAAGGAAUCGUCGGAGGCCAUCAACACGAAAGACGGCAGGGGAGCACUCUCUCUCUCUCUCUCUCUCUCUCUCUCUCAUCUCUCACCAAUAACACCUUUGAGUCCUAUAUUUUUCUAGUGAUAGAAAAAUGAUGUAUACCAAAUAUGAGAAUUUUAUUAAUGUUUUAAAAGUUGUGAAUACAAGAAGACAAAUAUUUCAUUUAUAAUUAGAAAGAAAACUAAUCCUAAUCCUAAUAAACCAAAGAAACUAAUCCUAAUCCUAAUAAACCAAAGAAACUAAUCCUAAUCCUAAUAGAUUAAGGAUUUGACCAUAAUACCAUAUUCCUAAUACAUCAUUCUAUCCCUCCCAGAAAAAAAACUCAUCCUUGAGUUUUGAAACGAAAAUGAAGGUAAAAAUAAAAAAGUAAGCCACUCGAACGAAAAUAUCUUGGAACAUUCAACGUAAAAGAUACCCAAUCUUCAUGACAAGCCAAUGAACCCCAUAAAUAAUUUGUUCAAAAAAUCCUCUGUCGUAAAAAGAAUGUGCAGAAUUUUCAAAACACGAGGAAAAACCCAUUUUAUAAGAGUGAAGAAAAUCAACCAUCAUGGAUUGGCCUUGUGGUGAAAAGGAAGAUAGUUUCAAUAACUAACUAAGAAGUCAUGGGUUCAAUCCAUGGUGGUCACCUAUCUAUGAAUUAAUCUCCAAUGAGUUUCGUUGACACCCAAAUGUUGUAGGGGUCAGACGGGUAGUCUCGUGAGAUUAGUCGAGGUGCACAUAAGCUAGACAGGACACAUAAGCUGGCCCAGACACCCACGGACACCCACGGAUGUAAAAAAGAGUGAAGAAAAUCCAAUUGGGGAUGUGUUUCUUGUACUUCAUUAAAUUGUGUAUGGUUCUGUCAAUAGACAUUAAUGAAAGGGAAUGAUGUCCAAAUUAGAAUUGGAUUUGGGUUUGUGUUUUAGGGAGAAACAGAAUACAUAGGUCAUGGGUCUUUUGGGUAGGGUCUAUGAAAAGGGUAAAAUUUUUGUGAGACCAAAUGGGUUGCCAAAAAAUUGUGCUGUCUUCUUCCCCUUCGUGGAAAACUGCAAUUGGGUUGCCAACAUGCUUUUAAGGAUCUUUAUCAUCACACUAUUCUUCUUUCUUUUCUACAAACAAUGUGUCUUUCAUCUUCUUGCUUGGAUCUUUUGGUUUGGUCACCUCUACCUUGCCCUAAGUACCCAAUCUUUUUUAUUUGGGACAUGUCAACUCCCCUGUUUUUUUGUAGUUGAUUGUAAUUAGGUUUUCAAGUUUCUUCAAAUCAGACAGGGUUAGUUUAAUCCAUAUAUUUAUCAUUGCUGUUAUGGAUAUAUAUAUAUAUAUAUAUAUAUAUAUAUAUAUAUAUAUAUAUAUUAUUUUAUUAUUAUUAUUUUUACUGGAUUUUAACCAUUUAUAUUGGUCUUUCAGGCUAGAGGCCCUCAAUGAGAAACGUACCGGUGUGGUGCAAAUGGUUAAGUUAGCUGAGAAGGAAAGAGAUGGCUUGGAGGUAGAGUUCCCUAUUUCUGCACUUAAAAAUAUUUUCUGAUAUAUAAAUGAAAUAGUUUUUAUUUUUAAAAGAUAAAGAGAUAAAAAGAAAGAAAAAAAAAAAACAGUUUUUACAUCUGCACAUAACAGGGGGUGAAGAACGAAGCAGAAGCAUACAUGUUGAAAGAAUUAUCACAUUUAAAGUGGCGAGAGAAAGCCUCUAAACUAGCUCAUGAGGAUACUACAAAGAGAAUAACUGAACUGCAAGAUGAAGUGUCCACCUUAGAGGCAAAUAAGAAAACUGAGAGGUGCUUUCUUAAUCUCUUUUCACUUUUCUUAAUCUCUUUUCACUUUUCCCCUUUCUUUAUUUCGCCACUCUAGUAAAAAGAUCUAGAUUUUAUGCUCAUACUAAGGUUAAGUAGGUAAAAUUUAGUCCUAAUUCCAUCACAUUGAGUCUUGAGCUUCAAUAAAUGUUAUAAUUGAUGGCUUCCAAUAGUUGAGUUUUUAUGUUUUCUUUAAAAAGUUUAUAGGUGGUUAUUAGUGCUCUUUUGGCUGGAUGUAGCUAUUUCUAUAGGUAUUGGUUAUUUUGGUUUGCAUGCUAUUGUUUAAAACAUGAGACAAGCUAUAAGUACAAUAGUAUCUUUUUAGUGUGGGUUGAGUACUUUGAUGUUAAUUAUUAUUGUAGUUACCUUUUCACUUAUUCAUUUUAUGAUUAGUGUUAGAAAUAAUGGGCUUAGGUCAUGUUGAAAGCUCAAGGGUGUAAUUUACUUUGCCCCAUUUUUUAUUAUGUUAAUUAGACUCGUGUUGCCUGUAAAUACUUUCCCUUUGUACCUUUAUGAGUAUUAGAAAAUAAAAAACUACCCCGUGGUUUUUCUGCUUGUACUAGGGUUUUCACAUAAAAUUGUGUUUGUUCUUCGUCUCUAUUUUCAAUAAUUAGAUUUAAAUGUUUCUAUGGCUGCGUUUGUGCAUUUCUUAGCUUGAUUCUAUAUGCUUUGUUGGUUGGUUUAUGUGCAGUUUUCUAAUUUUAAUCUUUUGAGGUAUACAUUUGACCACUUAUUCAGGUCAGAGUUGGGUGGAAUGAAAUUGGAAUAUUUAGAAUAAAUCGAUUCAUUAAGCUAAGUAUUUUGAUGAAUUUUUUUUCUCAUUUGCCAAAUAAAACCACAUUUGUAUAGCUCAAUGUUGCUUGUUGGUGUAAAAGCUAUAUCAAUUUGUUUUGUGAUCUGAUUUUCUUGAGUCUUGACUCUUGUUAAUUGGAAGACUAUUUAAGUAGUUCUUUUGGGGGAGGGUGAGCCCUCUUCUCCAGGCCCUUAGGUUCUUUAGACCGAUGCUCUUGUUGUAGGGAAAAGAUUCGUGAAACUAGCAAGGAGUUGAAGGAGCUUGAAGCUGUGCAUGAAAAAAAUAUGAAAAGAAAAGAGGUUUGUUGUACUUUUUUCCAACUUUGUUAAAAGAUUCAUGUUCUUUUUGUUUGACCUGAUUUCAAAAUGGUAUUAUGUUAUGUGACCACUUUUGACCCACAUUUUGUACUCGUGCAUCCAGGAACUUGAUAAUGACUUGCGAAGAUCCAAGGAAAAAUUUAAGGACUUUGAACGUCAGGAUAUUAAAUACCGUGAGGAUUUGAAGCACAUAAAGCAAAAGAUUAAGAAACUUGAUGAUAAGCUUGAAAAGGUGUGAAAUAAUGUCCAAUUUGUAUUGAGCACAUGCAUAAAUCUUAUCCUGUCUUUUAUUACAGGAUUCUACAAAAAUUGAUGGCUUAAGAAAGGAGUGUGAAGAAUCAACAAGCUUGAUUCCGAAGCUUGAGGAGAGUAUUCCACAAUUCCAAAAACUUCUCACAGACGAGGAAAAAAUCUUGGACGAGAUUCAAGAGAGUUCAAAAGGUAAUUUAAUUUUCUUGUGUUUGAGGGUGGUGGUUGAUGAUUGUCUUUUGUUUGUUUUUCUAAUCAAGCUCUCACUAUUUCAAAUCAGUUGACUGAGUUUGUUAAAUCCUCAUUUUUAUUAUUGUGUUUUUUAAAUUUUCUUAUAACCUUGCCUAAAAGUUUGAAGUUUCUUUUGCUAGACAGAACUUUAUAGAGGUUGAGUAUUUGUUUGAGGCAAUGGUGCAAUUCACAUUUUUGUAAUUUAUUUUACUCUUUAUUUCAUUUGCUUCUAGUUGAAACUGAGAGGUACCGCUCAGAGCUUGCGAUUGUUCGUGUUGAGCUAGAACCUUGGGAAAAGCAACUGACUGAGCACAGAGGGAAACUUAAUGUCGCAUGUACUGAGAGCAAACUAUUGAGUCAGAAGGUAAAAUUGUCGCAAAUUCAUUUCUUGGAGUACACAGUAAUGAUUACACACCAACUAUUCCUAUCUAGAAUAACCCUUUCUACUUCACAGUGUGGUCUACACAUUUGCGGAAUCUUCUCAGACUAUUUCGUGCGGCACUUUACAUGUCUUUUUUUCUCCUAUCAUUGAUAGUACCUCUUUUUCCUGCAGAACAUGAAAAACAGAAAUACUUAUUAUAAAAUUAAAGGGAAGGCUACAAUAUGAUAAUAUAAGACCUUUAAUAAUAAUUUGACAGUGGGGAUUUCUAUCUAGGAGAUAUGGAGUUAGCAUUUUAUCUUGUUGACUGAAAUUAUGGUGAUUGUUUCAGCAUGAAGGUGGUCGUGCAGCUCUUGAUGAUGCUCGCAAGCAGAUGGUUAACAUACUGAAAAACAUAGAAGAAAAGUCUACAAAGCUUGAACAGAUUAAAACUGAGCUUCAAAAGAGAAAAUUGGAAACCUUGAAAGCUCAAGAAGAAGAGCAAGUAUGUGUUUUAAGAGAAAUUUUCCAUCAUCUUCUUUUAUGCAGUUAUGCUUUGGUAAAUGAUGAAAGUGAUUGACUAUCUUUUUAGGAGUGUAUUAAGGAACAAGGCUCACUUAUUCCUGUAGAACAUGCUGCUAGACAGAAGGUUGCAGAACUUAAAUCUGUUAUGGAUUCAGAGAAAAGUCAGGGAUCAGUGCUUAAAGCAAUUUUGAAGGCAAAGAAAACCAACGAGAUUGAGGGCAUAUAUGGGCGAAUGGGUGAUUUAGGUGCUAUUGACGGUGAGUUUUCUAUAUUUGAGAUAUUAUUCUUUUGAUGUUAACGCUUUUGAUAUUUUAAAACUUCCCACCAUGGACUAUAAAAAUCAUAAUGCAAUUUUGGGCAUAUGGCACUGUAAGUUUGUAACAACCUAAGACCCUUACUGGACGUGUUCACACGAUGACUGAAUUUUGUACCAACUUUUUUUCUUUUUCCUUUAAAAGAAACUACUUAAAAUAAGUUCUAGUUGAAAUCCCUUUAAAAGAAUCAACAUUACAUAAAACCACAAUUUAGCUGGGAUGGUCACUCUAAAGCUCAUCUUCCACAUUGAUGCAGUAAUUGCAAAGCUAGAAAUUUUUAUGUAUAAUGCCUCUUUUUUUUUAUGAUCUAUUAAUGAAAAUGAGAAGCCUUUUUAUAGGCUGGAGAUUACAAGAGUUGUUAAACUAACUUGGGGUUGAGUUAGUUUAACUUGGAGUUGAGUUAGUUUAUUUAUAACUAACUCGAGAUACAAAAUUGUUAAUUCAAAUAACUUAUCCUAAACUAUAAAAAUGGUAAUUCAAACCACUCCUCUAGGAUAAAACUCAAGAAACAUCAAGAAGGGAGAUGUUCUACAUCAAACCCCUCCUCUAGGAUAAAACUCGACCUCGAGUGAAGAUUAGGGAGCUAAAGAGAAGGAAUCUGGUGCAUAGUAAGGUGAUAAGUCGGCAACAUUAAAAGAUGGGCUGAUUAUCAUGUUUGCUGGGAGGUCUACUCGGUAAGCAUUGGGGCCGAGUCUUUCCAAUAUUUGAAAUGGACCCAUGCGCUUGUUGGUCAUUUUGGAGUGAUGACCAGCAGGUAGUCUUGACUUUUGAAGUUACAUCAUAACUAGGUCACCUACUUGAUAUUCCUUAAAGCGUUUGUGAUAGUUGGCGGCUGUUUUGUAGGAGUCAUUAGCAAGCUCUAGAUGACUCUUGACUUCUUGGUGUAGCUUGGAGAUACGUUCAGCCAUUGCUUCAGCCUCCAUACUGACAUCAACAAGAGAAGGUAGAUUAGCUAAAUCAAAAGUUACCCGAGGGAGACUAGUGUAUACAACUUCAAAUGGGGACUUCCCUGUUGAGCGGUUUGCCAUGUGGUUGAAGGCGAAUUCUGCUUGAGGUAAAGCUAGGUCCCACUGUUUAGGCUUGUCCCCACUAAGGCACCGAAUGAGGUUGCCAAGAGUUUGGUUGGUCACCUCUGUUUGGCCGUCAAUUUGUGGGUGGCUGGCGGUACUAAACAGGAGGUUGGUGUCGAAUUUCUUCUAUAGGGAUCUCCAUAAAUGGCUCAAGAAUUUUACAUCUCUAUCCGAAACUAUAGUUUUAGGAAUUCCAUGCAAUCUAACAAUUUCUCGAAAAAACAAGUUAGCUAUAUUCAAAGCAUCGGAAGUUUUUUUGCAAGGAAUAAAAUGAGCCAUUUUGCUAAAGCGAUCUACAACUACAAAAACAGAAUCAUGGCCCCUUUGGGUUCUUGGUAAUCCUAAAACAAAAUCCAUAGAUAAAUCCUCUCAAAUUGUAGAAGGAAUAGGUAAAGGAGUGUACAAACCUGUAUUUUGAGAGUUUCCUUUGGCUGUUUGGCAAAUGGAGCAUCUUUUGAUGAAAUUAGUAACAUCCCUAUUGAGUUGUGGCCAAAAGAAUUUAGAGCUAAUUGCAGCCAAAGUUUUGUCUCGGCCAAAAUGUCCUACUAAUCCACUAGAGUGUUUUUCUUUAAUUAUUGCUUCUCUUAAAGAUGUAUGAGGGACACACAAAACAUCACCUUUGAAGAGAAAACUAUUAACAAUGUGGUAAUCUUUACAAGGUUUAUGGUUAGAGCAAUUUUCCCAAAUACUUCUAAAAUCAAUAUCAGUAGGGUACAGUGUAGGAAGGUGAUCAAAAGCAAUUAUUUGAGAUUGGAGGGUGGUGAGAAGUAUACCUUUUAGGCUGAGAGCAUCACAACCUUAUUAGACUUACCCGAAGUAUGUUUAAUCACAAAAUCAAAUCUUUGCAAGAAUUGUAGCCAUCGGGCAUGCAUUCUACUAAUUGUUUUUUGGGAGUUCAGAAAUUUAAGAGAAAAGUGGUCAGUGAGCAAGAUAAAAGUAUUAGCAAGUAGGUAAUGUUCCCAUUGUUUUACAGCACGCACUAGGGCAUAUAGUUCCUGUUCAUAGGUUCUCCAAUUUUGUCUAGAAGUACUUAUUUUUUCACUAAAGUACUCUAAAGGGUGACCUUCUUGACUAAGGACAGCUCCUAUACCUAAACCCGAAGCAUCUACAGUGACUUCAAAUGGUUUAUCAAAGUUUGGUAGUUUUAAAACAGGGGGGACUAGCUAAGGCUAAUUUUAAUUUACAGAAACUGUCUUCUUCUACUUGUCCCCAUUGGAAACUGCCUUUCUUUAAACAGUUUGUCAAAGGUGCUGCUAUGGUGCUGAAGUUCUUGAUGAAUCUUCUAUAAAAAGAAGCUAAACCUAAAAAGCAUUGAAUAUCUUUUGGAGUUUUUGGUUGUGGCCAAGAACUAAUAGAGUCAAUCUUUUUGGGAUCAACAGAAAUACCAUCACAGCUUAUGAUAAAUCCAAGAAAAUGAAUACUAUAGUACUGGAAAGAAGAUGACAUAAGGUAUACGUGGAAAACCCUCGUGUGGGGAGAAAAAACCAUAAUCGAAGCCGCUCUUAGUAUUUUCUAAUAAUCCAAAGAAUACAAAGGGGAAGAAUAUAUUUAGGCGACAAGAAGCCUUAACACAAAUAAAAAAAUAAAACUAGGUACAAUAAAAAUACAAAAAUACCCUUGACGCUGUAAGCAAUUAACUAAUCCCUUAUUUUCAACAUAUUUCCAACACUCCCCUCAAGUUGGAGCUUAGAUGUCAAUAAGACUCAACUUGUUAACGCAAGAAUCGAAGUUCUGUCUAAGCAAUCAUUUGGUGAGAACAUUAGCAAUUUGUUGACUAGACAAAAUGUAUGGAAUACAGAUGUUGCCAUUAUCAAGUUUCUUCUUUAUAAAAUGUCUGUCAAUCUUCAUAUGUUUCGUUUUGUCACGUUGAACUAGGUUGUUAGCUUAUGCUUAUAGUAUGUUUAUUAUCACAGAAGAGCUUCUUCGGUCAGACAAAACUUUCUGGAGUUAGAUCUCUUCACAGAUUCCCAAACUCAUAGCUGUGUAUUCAGCUUUAGCACUGCACCCGGUGAUAACACCACGCUUCUUACUCCUCCAAGUAACAAGAUUACCCUACACAAAAGUGUAGUAUCCAAUAGUGGACUUUUUGUUAGUAAUUGAUCCUGCACAAUCAAAGUUGAUACAAACCUUAAUACAUUUUCUGUCAGUUUUCCUAAACAUCAGGCCUUUACCUGGAGUAGUUUUCAAAUAUCUUAGAAUACAAUUCACAGCUACCAUGUGUUCUUUAUAAGGUGCCUGCAUAAACUGACUCACAAUACUAACCGCAUAAAAGAUAUUUGGUCUCACCUUUCCCUUUAGAUGCCAAUACUUUUCUUUAUCAACAAGAAUUUUGUCAACAGAAUUUCCCAGUUUUGCAUUAAAUUCCAUUUGAGCAUCAAUAGGUUUGCAUCCAGUCAUACGUGUUUCUUUUAACAUAUCAAGAGUAUAUUUCUCUGUGAAGCAAAGAUUCCUUCCUUUAAUCUCACCCCUCCAUCUCAAGGAAUUACUUCAUAUUUCCUAGGUCUUUGAUUUCAAAUUCGUCACCCAUAUUCUUUUUAAGCCCGAUAAUCUUAGCAAUACCAUCUCCUGACAGGAUAAUGUUUUCGACAUACACAAUCAACACAACAAUUUUCCCAGAUUCUUACUUUUUUGUAAAUAGUGUGUGAUCAUAAUGUCUGUGAGUGAAGCCUUGAGAUUUAACAAAGGUGAUAAAUCUGUUGAACCAUGCCCUAUAGGAUUGUUUCAUACCAUAAAGAGAUUUUCGAAGCUUGCAAUCUUGGUGGUUAAAUUGAACUUCAAAACCUGGAGGACUCAUGCGCCUUUCUUCUUCCAAAUCACCAUUUAGGAAAGUAUUCUUUAUAUCAAGUUGAUGGAGAGACCACUCUUUGUUGACUGCAACAGACAGAAGAAUCGUGAUUGUGUUUAACUUUGCUGCAUGAACAAUUCUCUAUGAAUAAUCUACUCCAUAAGCCUGAGUGAACCCUUUUGCAACAAGUCUGGCCUUGUACCUGUUUAAGGUCCUAUCUGAUUUGUACUUUAGAGUAAACACCCAUUUACAUCCCAUUGUCUUGUGCCCUUUAGGAAAUUUGCAAAGGUCCCAUGUCCUAUUCUUCUCAAGCGUUCCCGUUUCUUCCAUCACAGGAGUCUUCCACUCUAAACUCUCCAUAGCUUUAUGUAUGUUCUUUGUACUGUUGUAGUAUCGAGGCUUGUAGUGAAAGCCUUGAACUUAGGCGAUAGAUUACUGUAAGACAUGUAAUUACACAAAGUGCUUUGUACAGGACCUAGUACUCUUUCUCAAGGCAAUAAGCAUGUCAAGAGAGGGAUCAUAACUCCUUGGUUUGUCUGAGUUAUCCUGGCUUGUCUAACCCACCUGUUUUUUUGCUAGAGUUUCAUCACUUCUGGUAACCUUGUUCUCUUAUAGAGCUAUCAAAUUAGUUUUCUCCUCCCAACCACAUCAACCACAUCAUCUUCAACACACAAGUUAUUAUUAUAAAGUUUAGUCACACAUAAACACGAAAUACUUUCGAGGGGGAUGGUAACACUUAUAAUCUUUCUAGUGUAGAGGAUACCCCGCGAAAACACAUGGUUGAGCACGAGGAGCAAACUUUGUAUGGUUUGGGCCAUGAUUGUGAACGAAGGCAAGCAUCCAAACACACAAAGAGGAACAUCAGGAACAAGCCGUAUGGUAGGGUAGAACUCCUUGAGACAGUCAAGAGGUGAAGGACUCAAGAUGACAUUUUAUUGAUAAGAUGAGCUGCAGUGAGGACUGCACUUCUCCAUAAGUAGGAGGGAAGAGCAGUAGACAACAAGAGAGAGCGAGCAACUUCAAGGAGGUGAUGGUUUUUUGUUUAGCUACCUCGUUUUGUUAAGCAGUAUCGACACAUGAACUUUGGUGGACAAUCCCUUUAGGGGACGAAAAUUCAUGAAGGGUAUAAUUCAAGAACUCACGACCGAUAUCGUUACGCAAAAUAGCAAUUUUGGUGUCGAAUUGUAUCUCAACAGUUGUGUAAAAUUGUUGAAAUAUUGAUGAGACCUCAGAUUUAUCAGUAGGAGAAAGUCCCAUAUGAAACAAAUGUUUCCUCGAAGCAGUGGUGAUCCAUGAGGGCCUCCAAACAUGACUAUAAAUGAGGGUAAAAGACUGGGUAGGUCUGGAGGGCUGAGACGAAAACAAGACUCUAUGCUGCUUUGCACGGAUACACACAUCAUAAGACAAAGAAGGGACAUCCACUUUAGAAAAUAAAUGAGGAAAUAGAUACUUCAUAUAUUGAAAAUUUGGGUGGCCAAGAUGAAAGUGCCACAACAUACAAUCUUUUUCAGAAGUAGAAAAAUAAGAUGACAAUAACUAGUCCUAUAACAAUCCCUAGAGGAAGCGUCAUCGUCAAGGAAAUAGAAUUCCCUAUUGUGCCAAACAGUGUCAAUCAUCUUCCUCGAGCUAAAGUACUGCAAAGAAACAAUAUCAAGUGAGAAGACAGCUUGACAAUGAAGAUCCCUGGUUAUCUUACUAAGAGACAAUAAAUUGUAAAAUAUCUUAGGCACAUGUAGCACAUUCUAUAAAGUGAGACCCUCAAAAGAAGAAAUACGACCCUUGCCCGCAUUAGGAGCAAGGGACCCAUCUACAAUCCUAAUUUUUUCAUUGGGUUAUUACAUGCAUCGAUACUUUGAAUUUUAUUGUCAUGCCUCUUGUUAUUAUGUGCCUUUGUAAACUUAUGUAUAGCACAGUUCUUUCUGUUUCCUGACUGUAUUUGUACAUGAACAACAUAUAUGUUUACCUUACAACUUGUAUCUAGUCUUUUCAUCCCAGGUAUUUACAAUUUUGGUUUACUGGUGUUGUAUUUGCAGCAAAGUAUGAUGUUGCAAUAUCAACGGCUUGCCCUGGACUUGAUUAUAUUGUAGUGGAAACAUCUGGUGCUGCACAGGCUUGUGUAGAAUUACUGCGAAGAGAAAAUCUUGGUGUUGCAACUUUCAUGAUAUUGGUAUCAUUCAUCAUGUCGACAAACAAAAUUUCAUUCUUCUAAGAAAUUAUUCGUCUCACAUAUCCUUUUCAAAAAAAAAAAAAGAAAGAAAGAAACUAUAGUUUCAUUCCUGUUUGUAACUUGAGGAAUAAACUUAUGUACUUGGUGUUGAUUUUAUGGAAUUAAUCUAUAUUUCAUUAAUUACUUAAUAGAGAUACAAGCCUAUAUAUAACCAUAGAGAAAUACACUUAAGGAAAUAAUAUCAAAUAAUAUCUCCAGAAUAAUAUCUCCUAAGAAUAAUAUCUCCUAAGAAUAAUAUCUCCUAAGAAUAAUCUAAUUAUAUUAAUACUUGGUAUUUUGAUGAUCACAAUAAAAUUGUACUUUUAAAUUUUUAUGCUUGUUCACAAUAGGAAAUUAAGAAGCACAACACAUAUGAGGAAUGGACACGACACGGUCUAUGAUGUGACAUUAAUUUCUAGAGUUCUAGAAUAUGACCUAGCAUGGAAACAUGUGUCAUCCUAAUAAGCUAAGCAUGCAAUUCGAAAUUGGGAAUGAUGACUCAUCUUUUCUUUAUUUCAACAUGCAGGAGAAGCAGGUUGAUCAUUUGUCAAAGUUGAAGGCAAAAGUUAGCACUCCUGAGGGGGUUCCUCGGCUUUUUGAUUUAAUUAAGGUACAAGAUGAUAGGAUGAAGCUUGCCUUCUUUGCUGCAUUGGGGAAUACAGUUGUUGCUAAGGAUCUUGAGCAGGUUGGUUCUAGUACUUUAUUGUGCGUUAUAAACUUUUUAUUGUCUUUAACUGCCAAAGAUUAUGCACAUGUUAAGAAAGAAUUUUAUUGGAGCUUGUACGUGUACAAAAAAUGUUGUAAAUGAGUGGAUCCUUGCUGUCUUAUUAUUAUAAUUUUGAUAACCAAAUGAAUUCACGUUGGGAAGUUGUACCAAAGGCAAUAGGAUCCCGUUGGGUUGGAGGUUUUUUGAGGUGAGAAUGUGUUUGGGCAUUUGAAGCCCAGGUUUAUUAGAUGGGCUUUUGAUGGAACACAAGAUGAUCCAACACUAGGUAACAGUACUGGAAUAAUACUAUAUUGAUAGUAAUAAGAAAUUACAAUAAAACAAAGACGAAUGGAACAGUAUAUCCCAAUCGUCUGGACUCUUCUCUCUCUGUUACUCUUUCUUUCAAGAAUACACAGAAAAACUCCUUUACCAAAAAGCUACCUCCCACACUCCUUCCCUUUGUUAUUUAUAACUAAACUCCCCACCUAUUGUGGUUCCCCUCCCCAAUACCGUCCCACUCACUGUGGUCCCCCUAUGCUGUUACAAUUCUCAACCAACUCGUUCUCCUUCUUUUCUUUGCCCUUCUUCCUCCUACUGUAUUGGUGUACUAUAGGUGGUCUAACAGUUUUGUUCAUUUUUAUGGGAAUAUCACUUUUCCAUGCAUCUUUAUUAUUUUCCACCAUUGGAUUUGCUUUACCCUAGAAAAUGGUGAAUUUCUUACCAUCUUUUCCCUCAUGCAAACUUCUUUUUAUUUCAUUAGUAUUAAUUUAACUUUUUCUCUUGCCAUUUACAUAUUUUAUUUUUUUGAUAAUAUUAACUUUACGAAAAUAUGUUUUCUUAUCAUAUUUAAUUAAAAUUAAAAUUAGAAUAUAAUCAAUUUGAUAUUCUAUUAGUUUUAAUUAUAAAUUAUGCAACUUUCAAAUAUUUACAAUAAAAAUUAUAGUAAAUUCUUAAUUAUUUUUUGUCAAUAUAUUGAAUGAUAUUUAUUCUUUAAUUAAUCAAUCUUUUACUAUUAUAUACGUUUGUCAAACUUAAUUUCAUAAAUUAAAUACAAAAUAACUUUUUUUCCCUAAAAUCUUGAUAGCAGGAAUGUACAACCACAGUGAUUUUCAGACAUAUUCUCAAACAUUUUAUUUACAAACAUCUUAUAUUCCCAAACAUUUAUAAAACCUUGAACCAAACAACCUCUAAAAACUAUAUGAUUCUAUUCUUAUGAAGAAGAAAAUGCAGGUUUAAUCAUUCCUUGCAAUAAAUAACUUCAAGCGAGAUAAACUUCUUUUCUCACAGUAAUAUAACUAUUUAAAGUUUAUUUGAGUUUCAGACUUAUAGUGAGGUUUCAUGUUGCUUUGUUCUUCUCAGGCAACACGAAUUGCAUAUGGUGGUAAUAGAGAUUUUCGACGUGUUGUAACUCUUGAUGGCGCCCUGUUGGAAAAAUCUGGAACCAUGAGUGGUGGAGGACGUAUGCCUCGUGGUGGUAAGAUGGGUACAUCAAUUCGAUCUGCCAGUGUGUCAAAAGAAGCAUUUGUAAAAGCUGAGAAAGAUCUUUCAGAUAUGGUUGAUGCACUGAACAGAAUCCGUCUAAGAAUUGCUGAUGCUGUGCAACUUUACCAAGUUUCAGAGAAAGCAGUUGAACAAUUAGAGAUGUUAUUAGCAAAAAGUCAACAAGAUGUAGUUUCACUUAUUGUCUCUUUAGUUGUCUCUUGAUAAAUAUAGUUGACAUAAUUUUAACGUUCUGUUUGUCUGCUUUUAAUUGUCCCCACAGAUUGACAGUUUGACUUCACAACACAGCUAUCUUGAAAAACAGUUAAGUUCCCUUGAGGCUGCAUCAAAACCAAAAGAUGAUGAGCUUAAUCGACUGGAGGAGCUGAGGAAUUUUAUCUUGGAAGAGGAGAAAGAGAUCAGUAGACUUGUGCUAGGAUCGAAAAAGCUAACAGAGAAGGUAUGCUAGGAGCAUGACUGUUUUUUUUCCCUUGAGAUUUCUUAUAUCUCACUAUGAUAUAUUUAGGGGGAAGUGCAAUGUCAAUUGAUUUAUUGUAUAUAUUCUCACAUAUCUGACUAUAUUUAUAUUUUAGUGCUGCAAAUCCUUUUACAUGAACUAUUUGUUUCAGUUUGUUUAAGAUGAUUUCAUGACAAUAUUUUGAAUUUAAUCAUGUCUCUGCCUAUUUUAGGCAUUAGAAAUUCAGAGUCAGAUAGAAAAUGCUGGUGGUGAAAGAUUGAAAGCUCAGAAGUCCAAAGUGACUAAGAUUCAAUCUGUACGUACUAUUAUUACUCAUCAAUAUAUAGAAAAGUGAAUUACUUGUUAGAUAUUCAUAUUUUGGUACUUUGUAGGAUAUUAAUAAGACCAGAACAGAUAUCAAUCGCUAUAAAGUUCAAAUAGAAUCAGACCAAGCAACAAUGAAGAAGUUGACAAAGGCUAUUGAAGAUUCAAAAAAGGAGAAGGAACGGCUUGAGGAGGAGAAGAAUAAUUUGCAAGGAAAAUUCAAAGAUAUUGAAGUUAAAGCAUUUGCAGUUCAAGAAAAUUAUAAAGAGACCGAAAAGGUAAAUUGCUUACUUGUCCACUUCCAUGCUUCUUUGUUCUCUUUCCUGAAGAAUUUUAUACAUUUCGUGGUGCAGCUAAUUCAUCUGCAAGAAGAAGUCUGUGACACAUCCAAAGCCAACUAUAACAAAGUCAAGAAGACUAUGGAUGAACUCAAAGGAUCAGAGGUGCCCCCAUAUGAACCUAUAACUAUAUUGUUUAUUUGUAUUACCGUAGAUUGAGAAUCAAAAUUGAUAGGUUGUUGGCUACAUAGGUUGACACUGAGUACAAACUACAAGAUUUGAAGAAGUUGUACAAAGAAUUAGAGUUGAAAGAGAAGGGUUACAGGACAAAGCUUGAUGAUUUGCAGACUGCUUUAUCAAAGCAUAUGGAUCAGUAAGUAACUUUUGAAAGAUAAAGAACUUUUUAGAGUAUGAAUUUUUUGGUUGAAGCAUUUGUAUUGCAUAUCUUGUGGGCAGAAUUCAUAAAGAUCUUGUUGACCCCGAGAAGCUUCAGGCAACUCUUGCAGAAGACAUUGUUGAGUGUCGUGACCUGAAAAGGGCUCUUGAAAUGGUAACACUGCUUGAUGCACAACUAAAAGAAAUGAAUCCAAACCUUGAUUCAAUCACUGAGUAAGACUACUCAUUUUUAGUUUUAUUAUGCAUUGAUUCUCCACUUGCUUCUUUUUCUGAAAUGCCAUCUCUUGACAGAUAUCGAAGGAAAGUGGAGGUGUAUAAUGAAAGAGUUGAGGAUCUCAAUACAGUCACUCAGCAGCGUGAUAUCGUGAAGAAGCAAUAUGAUGAAUUGAAGAAAAAAAGGCAAAUGAAAUUUUCUUCUCUUUUUAAGUACUGCAAUAACUGUAAAUGACUAAAUGAACCCAAAAGCUUUAAGUUGACAAGUUAGCAGUAAAUUCAAUUAUAUCCACACUUCAACAACACUAUUCUUUUUUGGGUUCUUGCUUAUUAAUUAUUUGCUUAUAUACUCUUAGGUUGGACGAGUUUAUGUCCGGAUUUAAUACUAUAUCUUUGAAGUUGAAGGAAAUGUACCAGGUUCUCAUCUAAGCUUAUUCUCUCUUUUUAUUUGUCACUCACUUUUACAUUCAUGUUUGAAUGCUCUACCACUUGGAUUGUGUUGGAAUAUUUUGAAUAUGUUAUCUGGUGCUUCGAAUGACAAAGCAUGAAGUCUAUGAUUUUGGCCUUAGGGAUUUGAGGAGUGCACCAUAUAUAAAUUCCCUAACUCGGAACCUCCACCACAUGUGAUUUGAUAUUUUCUCUCUAAUAAAAAACUGUUCUCUCUCUAUUCGUGGAUGAAACUAAUGCAUUGUUAACAAACUACAUAAAUUUGCAUGUCAAUUUUUCUAUUGUUUACGCUUUCUCGCAUUCUUUGUUUGUUAGUUUUAUAACUAUUUUCUUAAAUUGGGCAUCACAAUUCCACUUGAUGGUUAACAGCCUUCUAGUGGCCUUUCUUUCUGUCCUUUGUUGCUAGUUGUAUUUCUGAGUAGUACACUUUGAUAUAUUCCAUUGAUGUUGUUUGACAGAUGAUCACACUUGGAGGUGAUGCAGAACUUGAGCUGGUGGACUCUUUGGACCCUUUCUCUGAAGGUGUUGUUUUUAGUGUCAGGCCACCGAAAAAGAGCUGGAAAAAUAUCGCUAACUUGUCUGGUGGUGAAAAGGUUGGCUGCUUUCUAAUUAAUCUUGAAUGCAUAUUCUUUUUCUGCAAAAGGGUUGAUAAAUGCAUUCUGAAUACCUUUAAACUACCGUAGUAACAAGAUUUCUUAUCUCAUUAUCACCCCUUGGCAUUUAUCAUGUGGCAUAUAUGUUAAAUUCUAAUGGAAUCACUGUUUCUUUCAGACUCUAAGCUCUUUAGCUCUUGUUUUUGCUCUUCAUCACUACAAACCGACUCCGCUUUAUGUGAUGGACGAAAUCGAUGCUGCUUUAGGUAUCUUUGCCGAGCAUUUAAUUAUUUUCAUCUCCCUGUCUGCUUAUAUUGCAUAGAUAAAAAGAUCCACUUCAUUUACGUAUUGUUAUUGUGAAUUUAGAUUUCAAAAACGUAUCGAUUGUUGGGCAUUAUGUGAAGGACAGAACCAAGGAUGCUCAAUUCAUCAUUAUAAGGUUUGAUGAACCCACCAAGUGCAAAGUUAGUAUUCAGGGAGGCAAUGUUAUUUAUGAUUGAUUUUGUGUUUUGUAAUUUGUACAGCUUGAGGAACAAUAUGUUUGAAUUAGCAGACAGACUAGUGGGGAUCUAUAAAACCAAUAACUGCACAAAGAGCAUAACCAUCAAUCCAAGAAGCUUUUCAGUAUGUGAGAAAAUUGCUUGACAUUUUCCUUUUGGUUUUGAUAUGUGUGUGUACAUAUAUAUAUAUGACAAAGAAACAGAAAGGAAGAGAAAAGUAGUUAUCUUUUUGUUUUUGCAAUUUGUUUGUAAGCCACUUCAAAUGGCAUAUUUGUGGUGGAAGUUUGAUGUUCAAAGGCAUUAUUGAACAUAGGUAUUUGUAAGUUGUGUGUAAUUGGACGUUUCAAAUGAUGAAUGGAUGAGCCAUUGUAUCCCCACAUUUAGUUGAAAGGAGUUGGCACAAAGCAACCGGGGCAGAUGACAUCUCAUUCUCGAACAAAAGUGAUGUCAAUUAACAUUGAACUAACGGCUAAUUUGAUAACUCAAGUCUUUAUUAUUUAGUUUUAUUUUUUAACCCUUUUGUUUUUUCCAUUUUUGAAAAUCGAGCUCUUUUUCUUUCCCAUUUUUUUUACCAUAAAUUGUAUCUUUCUUAAGUGCAAUGUAGAAUUUUUAGUUUGAUUCGAAAAAUAAAAAUAAAAAAUCAUUGUUACCAAAGAGGUCUUAGUUAUUUUAUUGGAAAAUUGGCAAAAGUAUAACAUAUGGUUUUCGUUUUAAAAAAUAACACUUUUUGAAAAUCUGUAAAAUUGUUUUUUUGGGUCCAUUUCUAAUGAAAUCAAUCAUUGAGAUUUUUCUAACGAAAUCAAUCAUUGAGAUUUUUCUAAAAUAUUAAAAAAAUUAACUUGUUGAUUGUUUUGGGUGUUUUUAGUUUUCUUGAUGCAUAUGGAUAGACAUUAGAUUGAGAUUCUACAAUUUUUUUAAAAAUUUCAAAUCUUCAAUUUUUUUAUCAUUUCAAAUAACUUAUUCAAAUCUUCCAUGAAAUCUUAAAUAUUUCUUUUAUCGUUUCAAAAUAAACUAUGGAUCAAAAUUCAUCUCGAACAAAAUUGUACUAAGAAACUUGAGCAAAACUGUAUCGAGAAAGUCUAAAAAAUUGAUAAUUUUGGAUUUUCUCGAUACAAUUUUGUUCGGGAUGAAUCGAGAUCAACCAAAUCUUUUACCUUAUUAUCGUCAAAUUUUCUAUUAUAAUCUUGGCAAAUUUUAUAUAAGAUUGUCGUAAAUAAAAAUUCCAUGAUAAUUUUGUCAACAUAAUUAUAAAACACAUAAAUUAAAAUAAAUGAUUUGAGAAAUUGUAUAAAAAAUUAGAUAAGAUUUGUUGUUAUAAGAUUUAGAAAGAUUAUAAAAAAAUUAGUUAUUUUCAAAUUUGAAAAAUUCGUAAAAAUCUAUAUUUUUAAAUGGACUUUUUUUUAUAAAAAAAUAUUGGACGGUAAGAAAAACAGCAAAUUAUGAGUUUUACUUUUGAAAUAUAGCAAAAAUAAUUUUAAAUUAUUAGAAUAGCAAAACAUAAAAAUUAGAAAAAUAAAUAAAUGAAACAAUUCUUCAAAUGCCUCGAUCCAAUAUGAAAAAUAAAAUUGUUCACCAAUAUUGAAAAUACACUGUAAUUGAAAUAACAUAUGCUACAUAAAAAUUUUCAGUUGAGUACAAAGAAGGAGUUUCUCAAUUUUUAGAGGUUGCAAAAUAUCACGUCAAUUACGGAUAAAUCAGGUGUCAAUGCAAGAGAUGAAUGAAUUCGAAUUGGAACUCAAUAGAGGGUGUGGAGUGACAUCUAUUCACUACUAGAAUAACCUCUUCAUACAUAGACUGAGUGUAUCAUGGAGAGUCCAUGAACUUGUACAGAAGUAUGCAAAGACUUGAUGAAGGAACGAGUAGUAGUAAUAAUCCUUGAGAUGAAGGAACUAGUAGUAACUCAUUUUCUGAAAGAAAAAAAAAAAACGAAAUUUUAGUUAUGCUGCAUAAUUUACAAGUUGGUAUUGAACACAUAGAAAGGAUGAGAGAAAGUUUGGAGAAUGAAAUAUUGUUUAUCAGUGGGGUAGAUUUAGAAGAAGAUAGAACAAACGUGGUAUUUAAUGAGUUAUUAAACCAACCAAGUCAUGAGCCAUACCCUGACUGUUCAAAAUUUUCAUCCCUGAACUUUUUGGUUACGAUGAUGCAUGUGAAGGUUCUAAAAUAUAUGAGUAACAAGUGUUUCGAUAUGAUUUUACAAAUAAUAAAACGUGCAUUUCUAAUGUGUGGUACCAAUGCCCUUGGUUCAUUCUACGAAGCCAAACAUAAAUUGCGUGAGUUGGGCCUUAGAUUCGAGACUAUUCAUGCCUAUAAGUAUGAAUGUAUUGUUCUAGAAGGAGUUUGGAGAUUUGCAACUUGUGGUGAGUCUCGGUACAUGGUUAGUUCCAACAACUGAUCAUCAGGGAAAAAAUCUGUAGAAAGUAUUGCACCACUUUCUGUUAAUGUCGAGAUUACAACGCUUGUUUCUAUCGCAAGAAAGCUUGGUGAACAUGAGAUGUCAUAAGGAUAAAUGAGUGGAAACAAAUGUUGUGCUGAGACAUCCAACUGAUGCAGAGGGAUGAAAGCAUUUUGAUUCUGAAUUUCUUAAUUUUGCUUUAGAGCCACAUAACGUUUAUUUGGGGUUAGCUUUAGAUGAAUUUAAUUUUUUCAGUCAUAUGAGUACCUCGUAUGGUAUAUACCCUAUGAUGUUAAUUUCUUACAAUUUGCCGCCAUAGAAAUGCAUGAAAGAGUCAAAAUUAUACAUGUGAUUGCUCAUUCUCGACCCAAAAUCUCCUAGUAGGGAAAUUGAUGUGUACCUACAACCAUUAAUUGAGGAAUUAAAAAAUCUAUGGACUUUUGGUUUGCAUACGUAUGAUUGUCUUACACAUCUAUGUUUUCAUUUGUAUACAGUCUUGUUGUAGACAAUUAAUGACUUCCUAACAUAUGGUAAUCUAUCUAGGUAGAGUAUGAAAGGGUAUCAGGCAUGUUCCAUAUGCAUGAGAGAUAGAUUGUCGUUCGGUAUAAGAGGAAAAAUAUUUUUUAUGAAAUAUCAGCGCUAUCUUUCAGGUAAGCACGUUUGACGUAGAAGUAGGCUACAUAAUGAAAAGUAGAGCGUAAGUCACCUCUAGUGGUAAUUAAUGGCCAAAAAAUCUUGGAACAACUAGAUUCAUUGGAGUUUCUAGUUAUGAGUAAGAAUCAUGUGUUGAAAGAUAGAAAAAGAAAGAAAUCCCUUAAUUAAACAAAGAAAAGUAUUUUUUUCGAUCUUCCUUAUUGUUCGAGACUACUUAUUUGUCACAAACUUGGUUGGUACAUUGUUAAAUAUCGAAGGAAAAACUAAGGAUACCACGAAUACCUGAUUGGAUCUACAAGAUUUACAAAUAAGAAAAGAUUUACAUUUGAUAGAAGUUGGUAAUCAAUUAGUGAAACCACAUGCGAGCUAUACGUUGACCAGCAACGAGCAGGUUAAGUUUUGCAAGUUCUUGAAAGCAGUUAAGUUUUCCGAUAGAUUCGUUUCUAAUAUUUCAUGAUGUGUGAAUGCAAACGAGGGGAAAAUAUCAAGUCUAAAAAGUACAACUUUCAUGUUCUGCUACACCGGCUUCUACCAAUCGGUACUCGUCCAUUCUUACUGAGAAAUGUGUACACCGCUAUUACUGAACUGUGUAGUUAUUUUCAUGAUUUGUGUGACAAGACGAUAAUAGUAAGUGAUUUGGACAGAUUGCAGGCAUAUAUCAUAAAUAUACUGUGCAAACUUGAAAGAAUAUUCCCACAGACUUUUUUCAGCUUAAUGGUACACCUUAUAGUUCACCUACAAUAUGAAACCAAGAUUGUUGGUUCAGUUUCUUACAGUUGGAUGUAUCCCAAAAAGAAGUCUCCGCACACUAAAAUAUUAUGUUCGUAACAAAGCAUGUCCUCAUGGGUCUAUUGCAGAAGGCUAUCUUAUGAAUGAAUCAAGUAGUUUUUGUUCACCGUGUCUAAGUGAGAUUGAGACCCGAUUGACUAAAGAUGAUCGAAAUAACGAUAGUAUUCCAGAGCACGAGGUGAUUAUGAGUUCAAAGUGUUUGUUCAGAAGGUACAAGCAUUGGGAGCGUCCCAUUUUCGAAGCGUAUCAGAAGAAGAGAAACGACUCUUUCAUUGGUACAUCCUAUUUUUGAUGUAAUAGCGGAGUACCACAAGUACUCAUCUCUACACUAAUCAUGAUGAGUCUUUGUUAUUGUCGCCACCUAAACUCAAAAUUAUGUACUUCAAGAAACACCUAGUGUUGAUACUCGUCGAGGUGAAACCAUUUAUGAAACUUUUAAAAGACAUGAACGAGCUUUUUUGAAUGGUCCAAAGCUUUUUGUGAAUUCUUGCAUGCGGUACUUUAUAUUUUAUAUAUAAUCUGUUCAUUUACACUCAUUUCAGGUUAUAGUAGAAAGGCAUGAGAGUUCAAAUAUUUCUCAACAUUUCUUCUGAAUCGCAAUGGGACCUUCACUUGAGGUCUGCUCUUAUAGUGGAUGCAUUAUCGAUGGCGUACGAUUUCACACUUUGGAGUGUGAUUUCUAAUGCAGAACACAGAAUAGUAGAGUCAUGGUAGAUAGUGAAGUUAGUGGAGGUAGUGCUAACAACAAUUUCUACCGGGGUUUUAGAUGAAGUGUUGCAAGUUCAAUAUCCAUUUGGACGACGUGCUUGAUUAUCUAAGUGGAGAUCGUUUGACACAAACAUCAACCAAAACCAUAGAACACACAUGGAACUAUCUAAGUGCUAACAACAAUUUCUACCGGUGUUUUAGAUGAAGUGUUGCAAGUUCAAUAUCCAUUUGGACGACGUGCUUGACUAUCUAAGUGGAGAUCGUUUGACACAAACAUCAACCAAAACCAUAGAACACACAUGGAACUAGCCUACAAAUCAAUAGACAUAUCCCAUUUUUGGUUUGUUAAGGAACCAAUGAUUAUUCUCGUAACCUAUACAUCAAGUUUUCUACCUCGAGGACCCUAAAAAUGGUACGAAUUGGAAAAUUAUUCAAAGUGGUAUAGAAUAAACGUGUAUGGGACGUGCCAGAAGAAGAAGAUGUCAAGAAUGACCAACUUAAUGUAUUGAAAACAGUCGUCGGACAUCGUUUGGACUAAACACUGAUUGAGGGUGCAACUCUGUGCAAAACUGAAGUUGAUCCAACCGUGGUGGAAAGACCAAAUAUGCGUCCUAUUGCGGAUAACUUCAUAGAUGAUAAUGAACAAUGAUUAUCAUCACAUCAAAGCGGGUCAAGUAAAAAUGAAUAAAAAUGUCUUCUUAACGUAUACACAUUAGUCAUAUAUUUUUCUAUGCAUUUAGUUUGCAGUACUUACAUUUUGUUUAACGUCUGUGGAUUUUUAUGUGUGCAUGAAUUAUGUCUAGCUUUUCGGUCAGUAAUCAUGAUGUAGGCAUUUUUCUCAAUUUGGAGGCGUUAGAUAUCUCUAAAAUCAUCAAGUAUUAACAUAUUGCAACACCAAACAUAUAUUUCAACAUAAAAGCAAAACCAAAGAUGAAUGAUGAGAGUUGGAUCAAUAAUAUUAUAUUAUAUAAUAAAAAUUAUUAUAAAAAAAACAUAUACUUUUGUCAUAGGGAAAACACAUGUAGCUUGUAAAAACAUUUAAAUGUUUGUAAAAAAAUUGUUGAAGAUAUGUCUUUAUAUAUAGUUGAAGAAAAUAAAUUCUUACAAAGUCUUUUCAAAUCUCAUCAUUAAAUAUAAAUUCAUGUUUCUAAGAAAUUAAAUUAUUGAAAUAAAUAGAUAAAAACCUUUCAUAUUCUAUUAAUCACUAGUUAAUAUUGAUUUUCUAUUUAUAAUAAAUAAAAUCAAUUAUAAAAUAAUAUAAUUCAUAAACUUUCUUUUAUAAAAAUUAAUGGAAUAUAAAUGGCUUGUUUUAUAAUUUAUUUGAAAUCUCAUCCUUAAAUAUAAAUUUAUAAGCUUUAGAAAUUAGAUUCAUGAAAUAAAUAAUAAAAACCUUUCACAUUCUAUAAUGAAGUUAAGCAUUUGAAAUGUUGAAUUAUUGAUUUUAUUUUUUAUAUUAAAUAAAUAAGUUAUAAAAUAAUAUAAUUCAUAUAAACUUCUUUUAGAAAACUCAUGAAAUAUAAAUGACUUGUUUUUUUUUUUUUUAAAUCUCAUCAUUAAAUAUAAAUUCUUAAUCUUUAAAAAUUAAAUUAUUGAAAUAAAUAGAAAAAAAAGGUUAUGAAGUUAAGAAUUUGAAAAGAUAAUUAUUCAUUUUAUUCUUUAUACUAAAAACAAAUAAUAAAUCAAUUAUAAAAUAAUAUAAUUUAUAAUUUUCUUAAAAUUUAAACAAUAUCUAAUAUUUAUUUUAAAGUAUAGGAUAAUAUUAUAAAUUUAAAAUUUGGCAAGGGGUAGAAUUGUCUAAAAAUGAUUCUCUCCCUACGUGACUUUUAAUAUAGUAAGGAUAAAGAUUAUAUUAUUAGAAGACAAAAAGAAGAUUUGUUAGGAAAAUGAAUGAGAAGAGAGAAUAAGUUUUUUUUUUGUUAGAUAAGAAUAAGGAAAAGGAAAAAGGGAUUAUUUAAAGAAAGAAAUAUAAUAAUAAUAUUUAAUAAUAAUAUAUAAUUAACCCCCUCGUGAAGCGUGCACCAUUAAACUCACAAUUCAAACUUCAUCUUCUUUCUUUGACAAAACCCUAGCCACCGCCUAAGUUCUCUGAUCACAUCUCUGCCAUAGACGACACUAUUUCCAUCUCCGUCAAGCUCUCUCCGUCGGUAGCAACGCGUUAGUCUUCGUCACUGGUUUUCGUCGUGUUUCCACUCCUAGUUCGUCAUAAUGAAGCUGACGCGUCCGGUCUCCUCUUUCAUCUGCCGGCCGCGUCUGAACAUUAUCAUCUAUCUUCAUCUCCUUGUCUCAGGAGAAGCCAAUCGUGCCUCGUCUCCAUUCGACCGUCUCUACUAGCUUCUAUCGCAGUCAGUCACAAUUGUCAUCGUUACUAAUAUAUGUUUGAUAUACCUUAUACACGUCUGUUAUACCUAAUACCCCUUAAUACACCUGAUACUUCUCUGGUACACACCUGAAACAUCUUUAAAACACAUUAUAGUACUCCUCGUCACACUUGAUUCUUCUUAAUACACUUGAUACCUCUUAGGCCUUGAUAGUUUGAUACACUUAAGGACUUCACUCAUAAGUUUGAUACACCACUAAUAAGCUUGUUAUGCUUCAUUGGUACACACAACAAAUUUGAUAUGUUUGAUGCACUCGAUGCACUGCAGAUACACUUAGUAUUCUUCACUUAUACAUUUGAUUGAUUAAAUAUACUUGAUAUGCUUGAAGUCCUACUUAUACACUUAUAUACUAUUGAUAUUUACCUGUAAACUUGAUAAUGAUUCACUUUAGUGAUAUGCUUUAACAAUAUACUGUUGAUAUACUUGAUAAUGAUACUGAGUUACACCAUUCAUAUACUUAAUAAUACUCUAAUGAACGUAGUAAGUAUAUUAACCAAUUAAUACAUAUAAUAUAAGUAUGUCACAACACUGAUAUACAAAACUAACCAAUUAAUACAUAUAAUAUAAGUAUGUCACAACACUGAUAUACAAAACUGAUACAAAGUAAAACCAAGAAAAAAUCAAUGUAAAAAAAUAAAACAAAAUCAUUUGGAAUCAUAUUCAAUUCAAAAUAUACAUAGAAGAAAGUAAAAAAAAAAUCACAAAUGAAGUUAAAUUACUCUGAUCAACAACCAUUAUAUUUCAUAUUGCAAUUAUUGUAAUUAUUGUAAUAUUGAUAUUCUAAAAUUAAGAUUAAGACCGAAAGAACAAAUAAUUUUUCUCGUAUAAGAAUAAAUAAAUAAUUAUGGCUUUAAAAAGUUGGAAAAUAAAUAAAUAAUGAGUAGGACAUUAAAAAGAGGAAGAAAAAUAAGCUAUAGAAGGGUAGUUUAGGAAUAAUAACAAAUUUAAAAUGGAAUAAGCUAUAGAAGGGUAGUUUAGGAAUAAUAACAAAUUUAAAAUGGAGUAUUUUUAUAAGUGAAAAUUUUACCAUAUUUGCAAAAUUCUAAAACAAUGUGUUAUAUUUCCUAUAUCAUAUUCUCAAAAUGCUACCCUAUGCAAUUUUCCUAAUUAUAUUAUUCCCAAUAAUAUAAUUAUUUAUAACCUUCCAUAACUUUAUUUGUAUAUAUAUGUGCAUAUAUAAUUAACCAAUAUUCUUCAAUCUUUAUCAAAUCCAUAAUAACACCAAAAAUUUCAAUUUCAAUAAUUAAACUAAGAUAAUUAAAUUUAAAAUUACCUUAAUUUUUGGGAUGUUACAUCAAACUCAUGCUUUUGCAAAUAUCUUUCUAAAACAGUGAACAAUUCUAUUUGAGAAACUUCAAACAUACUCAUAAAUCAUUGCUUACAAAUCUUAGCAGUAACCUAACGAUGAAUACGUGCUUUGCAAAUCAUUUCUAAACUCAUGCUUUUGGAAACACUUUCUAAAUAAGUAUACUCAAAUGCUUUUCCCAAACGUGCUUUUAAAUUGAAUUAAUAUAACGAUCAAUAUAGUUCAAUAAACAUUUCAAAGCAUACUUAAACAAUAGCUUAUAAAAACACCUUUAGAACCUUCAUUUAGAAAUCAUUUUGUCACUCACUACUAUUGGCUAGGUUUUUGGCUUAGAGAUCUAUUUCUUCUUGCUCUAAAAAUAACAAGGAAACUCAAGUUAAAAUCUUGGUUUCAACCAUGAUAACAUAUGUUUAACUUCUUCCUUUAUCCUUCUUUCUUAUCAAGAAAAUCCAUUUUUGACUCACCUUGAACUCUAUCGGAGUCUCAACAACCAUGACUUGCUUAUAACUACUUCUACCAAGUUUUUCGUAACUCCAACGAACUCAUAAUCAGAUUUAAAGUUAGAUCAACAACUAGAAACCUGUAAACUUGGUCUAAAUCGUCUUAAAAAAGGAAAAUGAGCUUUAACUUACUUGGAUCUGAAUCUUAGGCUCUUAACCUUUCCUCUAUGGGUGUAACUCGCCAAAGACAGCAACCUCUUGGAUGCCUCUUGCUUAAACACCCAAUUGAUGCUUGGCCAAACUACUCUCUGUUGUGGCUUCCAAACUUCAAAGAACACUAAACUCUCACCAUGCUUCUCUCUACUUUUCUCUCUUGAGCUGAAAAUGGUGAGAAAUGAAAGAAAUGAAGGUUUGCUGCCUUUAAAAAUACCCAUUGUGUCCAAAAAAACGCUAAUCUUGUGUUGACUUUUUGGCCCUUAAUCUCAAAUUAAUUAAUUUUAAAUUAAUUAAUUAAUUAAUGAUUUGAUCAUAACAAAUUUGAUUUUUUUAUUAACAAUUUUAUUAUUUUGAAUAGUCCAUACUGUAGAGCUUGGAAUAAUGAAUCCGACGCCCCUUGAAUCACCCAAAUCAAAGUUCAAACGAAGAAAAUAUUGCUGAAAUAAGCUUAACAAAAAAAUACCCGAGAUGGUGAUGUAGCAGUCAAGUAUUCAAUUUGAACCAGGUAGAGAAAGUGAGCAAUGGUGGAGUAACAAAUGUGGCUUUUGAUUUUGUUUUAUUGGCUUUUAUAAAAAAAAUGAAUUUAAAAAGAAAAUGAUUUAUGAGGCACUUGCAAAAAUGGCAAAAUAAGUUAUAAUAAUUAAGUCCAUAGCACACACAUUUUUUAUUUACGAAAAUGACAAAAACGAAGCCCAACUCACACAUCAAGAGGUAAAAGAUCGCAAAUGCCCUUGUUACUAAUAUACGUUUGAUACACCUUAUACACGUCUGAUACACCUAAUACACCCCUUGAUAUACCUGAUUGAUACAUUUGAUUGAUACACUUGAUGCACCUGAUACUCUUUGAUACACUUGAUAGUAAAACAUUACUAACAUAUGUUUGAUACACCUGAUAAACUAUAGAUACAUUUAGUAUUCUUCACUUAUACAAUUGAUUGAUUAAAUGCACUUGAUAUGCUUGAAGUUCUACUUAUAUACUCGAUAUACUAUUGAUAUACACUUGUAAACUCAAUUCAUAUACUUGAUAAUGAUUCACUUUACUGAUAUGUUUUAAAAAUAUAUUGUUGAUAUACUUGAUAAUGAUACACUGAGUUACAUCGUUCAUAUACUUAAUAAUAUUCUAAUGAACCAUAUAAAAUUUGAAAGAAAAAAAAAUCACGUAGUAAGUAUAUUAAUUAGCUAAUACAUAUAAUAUAAGUAUAUCACAACACUGAUAUACGAAACCGAGACAAAGUAAAACCAAAAAAUCAAUGUAAAAAAAUAAAACAAAAUCAUUUGGAAUUAGAUUCAACUCAAAAUACACAUCGAAGAAAAUAAAUAAAAAAUCACAAAUGAAGUUAAAUUACUCCGAUCAACAACCAUUAUAUUAUACUUUAUAUUGCAAUUAUUGUACUAUUGAUAUAUUAAAAUUAAUAUUAAGACAUAAAACAUAAAUAACUUUUAUAGUAUAAGAAUAAACAAAUAAUUGGAGCCUUAAAAAGUGGGAGCAUAAAUAAAUAAUGAGUAGGGCAUUAAAAAGAGAGGAAAAGAAAUAAGUUAUUGAAUGGUAGUUUAGAAAUAAUAUCAAAUUUAAGAUGGAGAAGUGAAAAUUUUGUCAUACUUGUAAAAUUCUAAAACAAUGUGCUAUAAUUGUUAUAUCAUAUUCUCAAAAUGUCUUCCUAUGCAAUUUUCCUUAAUAUUAUUAUCUAUCUUUGUAUUUAACUGCUAGUUUUUUUUAUUAAAAAUUGUGAAAUUGCUUGAUUGGGUUUUGAACAUAGUAUUUUGAAAAGACGUAUUAUUAUAUUAUUAUUUAUAUUGUGUACUAAUUGAGUUUAAAUCUCAACAAUUCAUUUUUCUUUUGCUUACAUCUAUUGACCCAAAAUGAUUUUAAAUUUAUCUUUCCCCUCUUUUUAAAUCCUUCAUUUUUCCCAAAAUUUGAACAACAUUAUUAAACUUUAUAGUCCUCAAAAAGUGCAAAAGCCAAUAUUGUUAUUCUCUCUAAAGCUUCCAAUUUUUAUUCUUUUCAUCUUAUCCUUGAGAUAAUUCUUAUUGUAUUGUGAGGAUUAAUGAUUGAAAGUUUCAAAUUGUAUACCCAUUCUUUAGAGAGUUUUCUUUUGUGUGAUUUAGAACUUCAACAUAUUGUAACGGUUGGAUCCUAACCUGUGGAAAUGAUCGGGUUUGCUCUUGAACUUGAAAAAGGAGCAAGUAGGUGCUUGAAAAAGGAGUAAUUUAACUUGAAAAAGUAGUUGUUCGACUCUAAUCUAUGAUAAUAGUCAAAAGAAGAUUUUCAAUCAAAAUCUCAAUAGAUGCUUGAAAAAGUAGAUGUAGGUUGAGUUUAACCGAACCACUAUAAAAUUACGACGUUUUCUUCUCUAACUCUUUUCUAAUUAUUUUUGUGUUUAAUUUUAGUUAUAUAUUCUUGUUGGUUGAGUUUGAUUGCAUAUUCUCAUUCAUAUUUUUUUAUCAAUCUUGUUAUUUAACAUAUUUUAGAAAGAUUCUUUUUUUUAAAAAAAAAGAUUAUCUAAUUAAUUUAAUUUAAGUUUAUUUGUUAAAAAGUUUAAUUAAACCCUAUUCACCCACCUUUAAGGUUGCCAUACCGAUGCAUCCAAUAAGUGAUAUCAAUCAGCCCAAGAUCCACCAAGAUUUACUCCUUUCUUGGUCAAACAAGCACCAAGAUCUUGCGCAAGAACCCAAAUUGUCCUUCUUUGCUUCCAGUCCCAGGCGAACAAAGCCCCGAGAUGGCUUGAGUUUUUCUUACCUUUCCCUUCGAACUUCCAAUCUCGGCUGGACACGGCCCCAAGAUUGCUCGAGAUCUUAACCUCUUAACCUUGUGCCCUUCAUCUCGUGCUGACAGAGCCCCAAGAGCAUCGAGAUUUCACCGCUAUCUCUACUUUGCCUCUUAUCUCGGUCAAACAGGACCGAGUCCUGAAGCCUCUAUCCUGAGAUUCCUUUCUCAAGGCACUUACUUUGGCUAACAACCUACUUUUCCUUAACUUUUCUUCCUAUCAACUCAACACAACUUCCACUUCAAUAGUUAACUUGAAUCAAAUCUUAAAGUUUCUCUUUCUUUACGAAAGCUUAACAAGUCCUAAAGGUUAUGAAAAUUCAGAAUUUCACAAUCACUCUUAGUGCUCAAGUAAUCUAUCUUAUACUUGUCAAAUUGCUUGCCUAUAAAUAGGAACAUGUGAUGGAUUCGUAAGACACUCAUAUUGGAGAGAAAUUCAUAAAAUUUGGAGAAAGUGAAUAAAUUUAAAUUUUUGAGUUUUUUUUCAUAAUUUUUAAAUUUUAAUAUUAUAUUUUUUCGAUAUGUGGAGUCGGAUUGUGACACGUUUUUACAACAAAAUCUAUUAUUUUGAGAAUUGUUUGUAAAUUUACUAUAAUUAUCUAUUUUGUGAAAAAACAGCCUUGGAAGAAGUUUACACCCACUUGCAAAUCAAACCAUGCAUAAUGAGAAGUUGUCAAUUGACGUAGGAAAAAUAAAAAAGAAUUGAUACAACGAGAGUGAGAGGGAUUGGUAAAGGGAAGCGUUGAGGAGUUGUGGACAAUAAGAAAAUAGAGAAACAGAAAAGAAAAAGGAAAGGCAGUCCGAAAGGAUCGGGAGAGAGGAGAGUGGUUUUUGUAACGCUCAUUCCUCUCUUCCACAUAAAUAUCCAUUCUCUUCUUUCUUCUCUCUUCGGAAUUUUCUCCUUCUGCUUUUCCCCCAUUCAUUCAUUCAUCUUCCUCCUUCCAAUGCCUUUUCUUCCUCACCUUUUCACCUAAAUGCUCUUCUUCUUCGCCGGUAUUCUUCUUCUUCUUCUUUUUUCUUUCUUUUUACGCCUAAUCUAUAUAUGUUUUUUCAUCUGAUUUAGCCAUUUCCUUCCUUUUUCAAUGUCAAUAUCACUUUUCAUCACGCCCAGUUCCUAUUUUCUCAAAGGCCUUCUAUUCUCUUACUUUGUUUUUCAUAUCUGAUUUUCAUGUUUGCGUUUUUUUCUUCUUUCUUCUUGUGUUUCAGACAUUACUAUCCAACAAAUUGGGUUUUCUCCCCUUUUCUUUUCAAUGAGUUGUAGGUUUAAAGCGUAACUAGAUGACGUUUUAAGCGGAUGACUCUUUUUUAUCUUUUUGGAUUAGAGGUGGUCCUCUGGAAUUUUUCGAUCCAUUGUUUUGACUCAUUCUCAUAACGGAACUUGUAUCUCCUGUUCUUGAUGUUGUAUGUACUUUUGAUCUUUUUGCUGUUUCUUGCUUUACUUUACCAUUUACACAACUGUUCUAUUGCCAACAAUUUUUAGCUGUACAUUUUGUUAUCUGAAACUAGGAUUGCUGGAUAUGAUUUUAAUCCUAACCUUUGAAAUGGAUCAUUUUGGGAAUUGGUGAUAUGUUGUAGCAUUAAAAUGGGAAGUUCUUUUCCUUGUUUGUUCAAUCAUUUGUUUGGAUUUAAGUGUGUAAAUGAUGAGAAGUAGUGAGCUGAUGAGAAUUGUGUUUGUGGAAUUAGACACUGUGGAUUCUGUGCUGGGGUUCUGUUGAAUUGUGGUGAACGUUUAGAAAUGGAUGAAAAUGGUGGGAUCAAGAUGGGAAUCCGCCAGAUUGUGAGGCUGAAAGAGACUCUCCAACACUGGCAAGGGGUCACAGUAUGCCCGAAAUCCAAAGCAGCAGCCCAUGAAAACGGAAGCCAAAAUCAAAAUCAAAAUCAUGGGAUCCUUUCACCGGCAAUCAACAAAAGGCUGACGAAUGUGUUGUGUUGUGAUUCGGAUGAGGAGACUUGCCAGAGCCCUGAGCACCCACCCGAUGUUCCGAAAGGGUACUUGGCUGUUUAUGUUGGGCCGGAGCUUCGGAGGUUUAUCAUUCCGACCAGCUAUCUUAGGCAUUCGGUGUUUAAGGUGUUGCUGGAAAAGGCAGAGGAGGAGUUUGGAUUCGAUCAUAGCGGCGCGCUCACUUUUCCUUGCGAAAUCGAGAUCUUCAAAUACCUUCUCAAGUGCAUGGAGAGCCAGCAGAAGGAUCAUCCUGAUGACCACACCCCAGGUUAACAACCAUUUCUUUUGUUUGAUGAAGUUCUUUUGGUGAAUUCUUUUAGCAUUAUGAUAUGAUGAACUGCACAAACAUUACAUUUAGAAGAAACUCGAAAAUGGGGAUUGGGGGCUUUGUUUGUGCAGCCAUUUUGCUUACAAAAUUGAUGGUUAAUUGACUUGGUUGAGUUCCUCAAGCUUGCCUUGUUCUAUUUUGUUUUUUGAAGUUCUUGUAGUGAAUUCUAUUAGCAUUAUGAUAUAAUGAACUGCUUGAACACUAUAUUUAGACGAAACUAGAAAAUGGGGGCAUGUGUUUGUUGUGUAGCCGUUUUGCUUACAAAGUUGAUGGGUAUUGACUUGAGUUCCUCAAAUCUGCCAGAUUAUUCUCUUUUGUUUCUUGAACUUCUUGUAAGAACUCCAUUAGUGUUAACCAUGUUCAAUUACAAAUUAAUUUGUUCCCUAUGAUUUGGAAAAUAUUAAAAUCUAGUCCAUAUAAUUUUAACAGUUAGAGUAUAGUUCUCAUGGUUUGAUAAAGUCCUGAUGAAUAGUCCCUACCAUACGUUUAAUCAAACGAACUUAAAAUUUUGUUCCAAUCGUUUAUAAUUAGAACCUAGUGUUUUUCAAACUAUAGGAACUUAUUAAUAUAAAGGUCAAUAACAAAAUAUGUAUCUAGAAGAAGGUAAAAUAGUUGUAUUUAUAGAGAAAGUUGAUAAUGUUUAUUAUGGACUUUGGUUGCAGCUGAGAGUUCGAUGACUAUGGAAGAAUAAAAAUGGUUGUGAUCCACAGCAGGGGAGGGGGCUAUAUACAAAGACAAAUUGAUGUCAUUGUGCCAGAUUUCAGAUAAUGUUGUCAAAUUGAUGUGUUUACAUUAGGGAUGUGUUUAAUUAGUUAGACAAAAUCUGUGGAGGAUGUGUGUGUCAGGCAGAUUAAAAAUCUACCCCUUUUUUUUCACUGUUCUUUUUUCUUUUUUCUUUUUUCUUUUUUCUUUUUUCUUUUUUUGGAAUACCCUUUCAAGAGAUGUGAACUUCAAUUUGCUUCCCUGUAUUUGAAUGUGAAGCACAUGAUUGUUUGACCACACAGUAUGGAUUUUCUUGCAUUGUUUUAUUAUUUUUUUUUAAAAAAAAGUAUUAUGAAAUUGAGGCCUAAAUGUGAAUUUGAAUUUUGCAUAUAUUUUCUUCAUCAGCCCAUGUGGUGGGGUUGGGUUACGUGUCUUUCUCUUCCUUUGAGCACAAACCCCAAGGAGAAUCAUAUUAUGCUUUGAUGUCAAAACCAAAUACAAAUAAUAUCUUCUCAUAUGCACAUCAUAUAAUAUGAUUACAUAUUAAUUACUUCAUGAUCCAUUGCCAACAUGGUUAUUGCUUAAUUUAUAAAUUUAACAAGCACCUUCCAGUUCCAUUAUUGAUAUUUCAAUAAAAGAAGCUGUACACAUAAUUAUUGAUUGCUAAGUCGCACUGAACUCAAAUUUAUUUAUUUAGAAAAAGGAUUCUUGUUAUCUAAAAUAGACAGAUGGAAAUUUAAAACUUUUGCUAAAAACUUGUUUGAAUUUGAAAAGUGGCAAGUAGAAUCAACAAGGCAGGAUGUAGAGAAAUUCAGAACUGCUAUUAAAAAUUUUACGGGGCACAAGCUCUUUUUUCUUCCAAGGCAAAACACUCAAAAAAGUUUUUUAAAAAACGCUGGUCAAGUUUGCAUUUUGUAUAAAAAAAUAUUUCCAAAUUUUUAAAGUUUUCAAAAAUACAAAAAAAAAAAAAGUUCAAAAAUAACCUGGAUGAAAACCAUUAAAAAUUUAUUUAAAAAAUACCCACACACUAUUGAAAAAGUUAAAAAAUACCUUUGAAUAUAUAUAUAUAUUGUUUUAAAAAACUACUGUUGCAAUCCGUAUUAGAACUAAAAUUGUUAAUAUUUGGUUGAAAAAAUAACUCUAAAUUAAAAAUGUAUAGUGAUAAAUUUAUUUAAAGUUGUUAAGUUUGAUGAGAUUCACAAUAUUUGUUUUAUGACUUUCCAUAUUGAAAAUACCAUCUCAUUGCUAUUGUUUUAAAAAAAUGGAUGAUGUGUUGAAAUGUUCUUUUGCAUGAUACUUUUCUCAUCAAUAGUUAUCUUUUUUGUUUCUUCUACUGACAUCUCCUUUAUUCAGUGCAUAGUUGUUAUAAAACUUAUGGUUGUUGGUAAUUGUGAUUGAGUCGUGCAUAUUUAAAGUACACUUGGUCUUUUGGUUAGGGUUGAUCGUUCAAAUUAUCUAAAGAGCAACAUUUGUAUUAUCUUGUUGUAGUUGUUUCAACUUGUGUUAAAAGAAGGAAAUGCUACAUGUAUUGAAGAUAUACUCCAUUCUCCUUACUAUUGUGUACUGUGAUUUUUUUAAAAAGGAUUCUCUUAGCUUAGAGGCAUUCCGAGUCAUUCAAACAAGGGGGAUUUGUUCAACAAAAAGAUAUAUAUACAUCAACGUGAGAAGAAAUCUCACAAACUUGAGGGUAGCUCUUGCUCUUCACAGAGGGAGUGUUUGUCAUAGACACCAUCUGCAAUAAAGACUAAAUAAUAAAUUAAGAAACUUAAAAGGUAGAAGUAGUGUCAGUUGGCCCAAUUUUUUUUUCUGUAAAAAAAUAAAUCGUUUAUGAACGAGGCCACUAUAAUUUUUAAAAAAUUGAUGAUUUUUUAACUCAAAUAAAAUUUAAAUAAAUCUAUCACUAUAUAUACUAGUGAUAAAGAUGACUUUAACUUGAAGUUUUUUUUUUUUUUUUGCAAUUAUUAACGGUUUCGGUUCCUAUACUAAUUGUGAGAGUAGUUUCAUUUAACUUCUUCAAAAUUCAAGUAUAUUUUUGAAACUUUUCACUAGUUCAAAGGUAUUUCUUAAAUAAAACUUUAACGGUAUUCAUUCAAAAUUAAACUAACAAUAAAGGUGUUUUUGAGCCAUUUUUGAAAGUUUGAGGAUGUCUCUAAAACUUUUGAAAGUUUAGAGGUAUGUUUAACACAAAACAUAAUGUCGGGGGAUUUUUUUUUAUAAUUUAGCCAAGAAAAAUUACCUCUAUCGAAUUGUUAUCCAUACUUAGAGAUUUUAUGCAUAUACACCUAUAUAAGUAUAAGAUAUUAAUUAGGUUUAGAAGAGUGAACAAAUUUCUUCUUAUUUAUAUUUAUAAUUAUAUCCACGUACAUGCCAAAAUUUCCUAUCUCUCAUCACUUUGUUAUGAUAUUUUUUUCAAGAGAGAACUAUGGAUGCCAAAAAAAAGGGAUCAAAUGUAAAAUUGGUUUUAUGAUGAAAAUUCGUCUGAGUGCCUGCAAAACAAAAGAGAGUAAGCAUGGGUGUGGUGUCUAACCACACACUUCAAUUCUCAAGUCAAUCUAGUGUUUCAAAGUAGUAGCUAGACAAUAGAGGAAAUAGUGAAUAUUCAGGCAUAUUUGGACGUAUUCGGACAUAUCUUCAACUAGUGGCCUUGGUUGCUUAUAUAAUAUAGUGAUUUGUAACCUACGCUUGGAUCAUAAUUGCACCUCUUGAGCUUCCACAAUCAUUGAACUGAUAGUCAAUAGUUGGUUUCACUACCAUGGCAAAUCCAUUGAAUGCUCCUACCGACUCCCUUUAUGACACUUGUUUCUUCAGAAUUCGAACAAUUUCACAUUCAAUGGCUUAGAGGUCUUCCUUUGUGGGUCUUCUGAGCUCUUAUUUGGAACUACCCUAGGAGUACUUUUCCUUGUGGGUCCUCCUCCUCUUAGGAAGUUAAGCUAUUCUUAGUGGGUUCUCCUUUAGUGAGCUUUUCUAAGGAGACUAGUCUCUCCAUAGUGGGUCCUCCUCCUGUGAGCUUUUCUUAGGAGGUUAAGCUCUCCCUUGUGGAUCCUCUUCCUAUGGCUCUUCAUAUGAGACUUCUCUCUUAGGUUUCAUUAAGCUCGUCUUGAUCUUUCUCUUAGCUCUUGUGAACUUAUUUCUCUUGAAUUGGUGCUCUUAAGCUCACCUCAUAAGUCCACCGAGCUGCCACUAAGCUCACUUAGGCUCACCUCAUGGGUCCACCAAACUACCACUAAGCUUGCUUAUGUUCUCUUUGAAUAGACUAAAAUUCACCCACAACAAGAAUGAAAAGAGAAAAAUAUUUGUUUUGUGUAUUUGCUCACUAACGAUAGUUUUGAUACAAAUGGACAUUUUAAAAAUAUAUUUAUCUAUUAAGAUAUUAAAAGUAUUAUGAUGUUUUAUAUAUUAGGGAGUCAGAUUGUUAUUUAAUAUGUAUUGUUUAUUUUAUGUAGGUUCACCUAAUUGCUCUAAUUUAUUGUUUCUCAUAUGUAACAUUUGACAAGAACGUGAAUUCUAUAUCUCCAUUUCCUCUUUAUUUGGAUAUGAUCAAUAUAACAAUAUCAAAAUGUUAAACAAAAAAUAUCAUUUAUAUUUUAUUUUCACCAUAAUACGUACUAUAGAAAUUGAGAGUAAGAUGAACAACUCAUAAAACUAAAAACAAGAAAGAAGAUGGUAACCUUCCUAUGAACAUAAUACGUACCGUAGAAAUUGAGAGCAAGUUGCUCUUGAGAUCAUUUUUAGUCUUUUGGUUAUGAUAGAAAUAAACAUGUAGGUAAGGUAUACAUUAAGCGGGUAAAACAUAAAUGAGUUAUGAGGGGGUCGUUUGGUGUCACAAUUGUAGCCUUCCAACCUUGACACAAAUGAUUGUGCGACACUUGUUCGAACUUGAUGAACAAGUUAACCGAUUGAAAUCUGAAAACUGCGGACAAACUCACGGUAUGAAAAACCUCCCAUUACGUUUUUAAGAAUUUUUUUUAGAAAAUGUGAGAGAAAAAAUUCAUUGAAAUCGGCGUUAUGAUAUACAUUGAAGACUUUCAGUUGCAAGGGAAAAUGUUUGCUUGCAAAGAGUGCGACAAUGCUUGGGCAGUGAAUCAAUUAAUAUGUCUCCCCUAUAGUACAUUUUAAACAUUUUCAGCUCUGGUAGACUUGCAUAUAAAAAUGUCAAAAUGUCACACCCAAGCUUUAUGACUUAAAAUGGAAAACAACUAGCUAAACUAAAUACAAGAUAAGAUAAAUUUGGGGUAUUCGGGCAUACAGCCAUAGGCAAACACGCCCUAGACAUGUAUGAUCGUGAUAUUCUGCCCAACUUAAAUAGUAAACGUUCUUGUCGACUAGCAAAGCUAGAAUUCUUUGAUCUUCUGCUUCCAUGCUUCGAGGUCUUUGGUACGCCUCAACUUGUUUCUUCCAGGGGGAGGUUCUUCCACUUUACUAGGAAUUCAUGUACCCUCCUCGUGGGUCUUCUACGUUUCCUCACUCUCUCAGUAAGGAUUUCUUCCACUUCUGCUAGUUCAUCGUAUCUUUCCACGGGGUGGUGGUCUUUCUUUAUUCAAAAUCGAGUCUGUUCAGGUCUCACUUUAACAAGGACCUGAUCUCCCGCAUGAAAGUCCAGAGGGGACGCUUCUUAUCUGUCCACUUUUUUAGCCGCGUGAGGCUUCUUCUAGACAGGCUCGAGCAACAUCUGAUUUUUGCUUCCACUUAUUGGUAAUGUUGUGAGUCUGAGGACUCUUCUCAGCAUAGGGGGAUCAACAAGGCAUGAGAAUAUAGGUUGUUCAUCACAAACAAUCUUGAACGAGCUUUUACCAGUUGAUGAACCCAUCAUAGCGUUAAUGCAAAAUCGGGUUACCUUGAACAGCUGAAUCCCAUUCUUUGGUUGUGUCUUACCGGCCUAGCCAAACUCACACCAUCUUGAGCGAAAGAGUUUUUUUGCAAGGAUUCUUUUGACGCGUCCCGCAUUGGGCCAUCAACUUGACAUCCAUGUAUACGAGCCAACAUGCAUAGAAUCACAUGGUCAUUUCUCUGACUAAGGGCACCAACUACCCGAUUACACACUCCUUUCCUAUGUUUCGAUAAAAAAUCAAGUUCAAGCAGGUCUUUCUGCCACCUUCCUUGACUUGAAGUUAGUUUUGGCUAAGUACUAAAGUGGUCGAUAACAAUGUUGCUCGUCUUUCCAAUGUAAGUAGAUCUCCAUGAAUACCGUUGCCAAACUCUCAGAUAGUGUACCGUGGCAAGUGUUUCUUCUUCAAACACCAUGUAACUCUUUUCUACGGUACUCGACUUUCGACUCUCAGAUGCGAUGGGGUGUCCAUUCUGCACAAGGACAUCGCCUAAUGUAUAAUUAGACGCAUCAACGUGAGCUUCAACAGGUUGAGUCACAUCCAUGGACUCAAGAGUUGACCCUUCCUUUAGGGCAUGCUUCAAGAUACGGUUGUCAACACACAACCGUAAUUUUCCAUUCUCUUCUUACCCUAAAAAGACGGGCUUCAUACAGAGCUUUUGCAGAUGUAAGGAAUCCUACACUUAACAAUUCCUACGACUAUCUUCGAAUUUCAGUUAACUUCGACGACACCAUACGACCAACAAUCUUCGUAGGUGAUUUUGACUUGGGCAAACUAGCAAGCAUCCCAUCCUCCGACUUCUACCACCGUUAUAAAAUUGUGGGUUGUACUCGAGUCAACCAUAGUGCUCUUUGCGUUCUUCCGGUUGACCUAGGUGUCAACAUAUAUUAAACUCCUUUCGCACAUUUACUUGUCUCCUCUAGUUUCUCCUAAAGAGACGACAAGAAUCUCAUGGUCCCCCACUCUAGGAUUCUCAACUUCGUCCACUUGACCAACUUCCUUCAUUGAUUGACUCAACUUGUCAUCUGAUUCUGAAGCUAAAAAGGCAUGAAGGACAUAGAAGGCCAAUUUAUUUGAACAUUCCUUAGCCCGAUGUGACCCAUCACACAUGUAGUAACUAAAAGGUCGAUUUGAUGUGCUAAAACCAUUGUAUCUUUGCUAGGUGUUACCUGUGUUGGGUUGGGAAGGCUUGCGGUCUCUAUCGAGACUUCUGUCUUCACAGACAACUUUGGGAGAAUUCGGUCGGCUAUUUCUAUCUCUUCUAGGUGAAGAGCUUUGAUGACGUCUCGUAUCUUAAGAGUCACUAGACAGAUUGAACAAACGUUCAGCUACUGCAUAAGUUGAUGUGAGGUCUUGAACUCUCUGCUUAUAUAGCUUAGCCUUUUCCCACGACUUCAGCCCUUCAACAAAACUAAAGAUUUUUUCCUUUUCAGACAUAUCACAUAUAUCUAACAUCAGCCCUAAGAAUUGUUUCACAUACUCCCGAAUGGUGCCACUAUGUUUUAAUUCACACAGUUUUUGUCGAGCCAGAAUUUUGGCAUUCUCGAAAAAAAACUACGAGCGAACUUCUUUCUUUAAGUUGUUCCAAGUGUCUAUUGUGCAACGUUCUUCCUGAACUUCACAUACCAGAACCUCCACCAUAACUUUGCAUCUUUAGACAGAUGCAUGGUCCCCAAUGUCACUUUGGCUUCUUUUGAAAUAGUAUUUGUGGGCCUUGAAGUACUGUUCGAUAUCAAAGACAAAAUUUUCUAAACCUUUGCAUCUCUUACCUCACAGAAGGGCUUGGGUGCAUGGAUUUUUAUUCUACAUCAACUAGAAUUGCCCCUCCAACCAGAGCUUGGUUUGCCAACACUCGCAUUGUAAGGUUCACCUUCGUGUUCACCUCUGUGAUUUUCUUCCUAACAACAUCGAGGGUAGCUAAAAAAUCCUCUGUCAUGUUGUUUAUCAUUUCCAACAUAUUCUUGUGUGAGUUAUCUAGCUCAAUAACUCGUAAUUCCAUAUGGAUAGUAGAGCCCGACGAACUGUCCCCACACUCGUAGGUGACAUUUCCCAUUUUUACAAUUUGUGACUCUAGAGUGUCAACUCUAAUCAAUAAUUCUUAUAUGGGUAAUCUGUCAAGACGAUCGGACACUGCAUCAAUAGGAUCAACUUUAUUGGAAACUUCCUCAAGCCAAUUUUUAAGAAAUCAGAUGGAAUCGGAAACUUCGACCAUGUGGAGCAUCUACUCUUCAAGCCCCACUAAUCGUUCAUCAUGGGUCAUACCCGUGUGUUUCGCAGUCUACAUCUUUCUGUCUUAACUGUCAAUUAGCCAAUUUGGCUCUAAUACCAUUUGUCACAAUUGUAGCCUUUCAACCUCGGGACGGACGACUGUGCAGCCUUGUUCAAACUCGAUGAGCAAGUCAACCAAUCGAAAUCCAAAAAUCGCAAACAAACUUGGAUAUGAAUCAACCUCCCAUCACGUUCUUGAGAAAAUGUUUUAGAAAACGUGAGAGAGAAAGAAAUUCAUUGAAAUCGACAUUACAAUAGACAUCGACGACUGUCAGUUGCAAGGGAAAAGGUUUCCUUGCAAAGUGUGCGACAAUGCUUGGGCGGGGAUUCAACUAGUAUGCUUCCUCUAUAGUACUUUUGAAUAUUUUUAGCUCUGGUAGGUUUGCAAAAAGAUAAGAUAAAUUGAGGGUAUUCAAGAAUAAAGAUAAGAAAAUGUUGAGACGUCACAACCAAGCUUUAUGACUUAAAAUGGAAAGCAACUAGCUAAACUAAAUACAAGACAUAAAGAUAAGAUAAAUUGGGGGUAUUCGGGCAUACAGCCAUAGGCAAACACGCCCUGGACAAGUAUGACCGUGUCAUUUUGUGCACAGGUUCAAAAUCAAGCCCACAUACAUUUAGUUUCGAGUAUAAGAUUUGGAAAUUUGGAUUUUAUGAUUCCUGUGUUUGGGGUGCUGAUUUUGAAUUUCUGAAUUUAGUUAAUUUGUUUAGUUUUUUUUAUUAAUUGUAUGCCCUAAAUUUAUUUUAUAUCAAAAUUUAAUUGAUUUUUUAAAUAUUUUGUACCUCUCAUUCAAUUUCUUGACUCUAUUGAUUUUAAUGAUAAUAAUAUAAAAACAGGAAAUUUUGAUAUUUGAUAGCAAUAAAUUUGAUUAUAGUUGUAUUAACAUGAAUGGUCUAAGUAGGAAUAUUACAAACCACUCAAUUUUUCUUUUUAAAUCAUGUAAUCGGAUGGAGUUUAUGAAAGUUCUAGUUAAGCAACAUUAAAAAUGGUCUAAUAGGUUUCAAAAUAAGCAUAACCAAAAGGGUAAUGCAAAAGGGAAAGUCAAGUAGAGUUACAUUUAGUCAUACUUACGGUUGUCUUUCUAUGACACUCAUGCAAUGUAUUUUAAACCACUUUUAUCUAUAGAGGUCUAAAUAAAAAUGAAUCUUUUUUAAAAAACACUUUUUCUCAAGUCUUCUAGUUAAAUUGACAAACAAAAAAAUGAAAAAUGUUAUUAAACUAAAAAUGAACUAUGACGUAUAUGUGAUAUAUAAUUACAAUUUCCACUAUAUUACCAAUAUAUUAAUAUUUAAUUGAUACUCGAGAUCACAAUAGAUAGGUCAUCAAUUUUCACCUUAAAAAAAUAUAACAAAAUCUCAUAAAAUGAAGGAAAUAUUAUUUUUAAAUAAAAAAAUAGGAAAGAGAUUAUUAUAAAAAAUGAUCUAACAAUAAUAGUUAUAAAAUAAACUCCAUAAGAAAAGAAAAUAGAAGAAUGAAAACAAUGCAUAUUUUAAAAAUAGUAUUGUGAUUAAAGCAAAUGCGUAUAUGGAAUGACUAAAACAAAAUUAAAAAAUUUAUUUUUUAUUAACUUUCAAGGUUUGUAACAGUUGUAAAAGUGGUGGUUGAAAGUUCGUCGACCGAGUUUGUUAGAAAUGACACCUAGUGGUCAACUAACAAUGGUCACUAGGGGUGAUGUUUGGAGUUGAUCUAUGAAUUUUCUAGAUUGAAUUUAAAAAAAAAAAUAUGUAGUCUUACAUGGAGCGUUAGACAUGAAAACUUUCAUGAAAUUUUUUGUUAUAUUGGAUGAGCCGGUUAGUAAAUGGAGUGUUCCUUAACUUGAUUGGUCCGACUUAGAAGAUAGGUGAGUGCAAUACCCAGGUCGGUGAGGCCUAACCUGGUGAGUCAUAGAGCCAAGGAGCUAAGUCAGAGGAAGAGUAGUCCUAAAUGUGGUUUGCUAAGAGAAGUAGUUAGGCAACCUAGAUGAGGAGGAAGUGCCACCUCUAGGUACCCUCUACAAGGAGUAGCUUGGUGGCGAAAAGCAAGAAAGAAGACUCCAGAGGAUGUCCUUGAGAUGGACUAUUGAUGACCAGGGAAAAAAAGGCUGAGAUUGGAGUCUUCUAACUGCAAAAAAACCUUGGUGCAAGGAGAGGCAUCUUGGUGGAAAGAAGAAGAACGUAAGAAGACUAGAGAUGGUUUAUUUUUAUGUAAAACAAAGUAAUUUGUAAUUUGUACUUAUGUAAGCAUUAAGUUAAUAAAUGAGAAAGUUUAAGUAUUACACUGUGUAAAUUUCUUGAGGUGAUGGUCUCUAAGCUUCAAGUGGAAGAGCUUCGCGAAGAGACGAAAGAAAAGAGUUGUUCCGCUUACUAGACAUUUAAAACGUUGUCUUGCGAGAGGUGUGCAUUGAAUGUCUAGGUGGCACGCCCUCCAUUUGGUCGUGGGAUGCAACAUUUGGGGUAGGGCGUGACAAACAAUUUAUCUUAAAAUUUUGCUUUUAGUUGCUAUACCAUAAAUCUCUGUGUAUCUACGCGACGAAAAUUUAGGCACCAGUAGUGGUCUAUCUCGUUAUAGCUAUUAUGAGAUGGAAAAUCUAGGUAUUCGUAGAAUCCCUUAUCUCUAAAGUAGUACCAUUGAUUGAAAAUCUAGGUAUCUAUUGAAUACCCUCGUCAAAUGACCUCUAUGCAUAGGAAAAUCCCCCGAAAGGUUGCUAUAUAUCUUAGAACAACUUGGAUAUACACUAAAACAUGCUAAAAUAUUUCAUGUUGCAAAAUGAUAAUAUUAAACUUAAUAACAUGUUUAUAAGUCAUUCUUAAAUCAAGCUUUGCUCAAUCAUUCAGUAAACCCAAGUGCUUACUCAAAUAUGCUAUCAGCUUUCUAAUACUUUAAACACAUGCUUUGUAAAUUCAAGUAUAAUAAAUAAGUAACGUUCAACAUUUAUCACAAACAAUGUAAAAACAUGUUUGGAAAUCAAUUUAGAAUUUCAUUUUCACACUCAUAACCUAUUGUUCAUGUAACUUGAAACCAUGCUCGAAUAAUAGCUUUUAAAACAAAGUGUUACCCACAAAUGGUACCUUUGGCUUGUAAAUUUGUCAAAUUUCUUCUUCUCCUUGAAAUAGUAACAUUUAAACUUAAAUUAAUCAUUUAUCCUUAGAAAAACCCAACAUGUUCUAAAAAUUAGCAAAAGCACUCAAAAUGGCCUAAAAAUGCCCAUUUUGGCAUGUUGCCAUGCAAAGCAGAGUGGCAAGGGCUUGGCAAGCGCUUAGGGCUUGGGUAGGCCUUGCAGCAUGCUAACCUCCCAUGCAGCAUUUCGCACGUCUCGCGUAGUGUGUGCGUCUUGAGUAAAGGGUAGGCCACAUGGUACAAGCAUGUGCUUCAUAUCGUUUGGUUGUGCACUUUCUAUGCCUUGUGCUUUUAAGAACCAACACUAACCUCUUUUGACCUAAAACGUACCCUCAGCUUGCCAUGCUCUUUCUAACCUUGAGCCUAACUUCAACCUUGCCCAAAAUUUCCUUUCUCGGCUAAAACCUAAGUCCCACUUUGGAGGUUAAUAUCUUAUAAUCCAUAACUCAAAUAAGAAAACUUCCUACUAUAAAGUUGUUUAAAAUUGGCAUAAUUUGCUUACCUCCAAAGGUCAACCAAAAAGUUCAAGAAAUUCAUUAUGUAGCCCUCUUGAAGUCAAGACUGCUCACUUUCUCUCUAAGAAUGACCUUUCCUCCUUUCUUUAAUUCAAACCUUAACUUCCUCACUUCAGAAUUGACUGACAGUCCUAAUUUGUAAACUAGGCUUAAUUUAAAAACUUUUAAAAGUAAUUUGAGCCAAAACACAUGAGUAGAAUGAGAGAAAUACUCUUAUGAAGUGACCUAUUUAUAUUGGGUCUUGCAUGAGAAUUCCUUAACACCUCCGGCUUGCUGCAAUUUAGCUCUUGCAUGUAAAUGACACCUGGAAUCCAGUUAAUCGAUUGUCCUAGGUCAGCCACCAACCUUACUUCCAUUCCUAAUCCUUAAGAAAAAAGCCCAAAACUUAAAACGCCUUGAUAACCUCUUUUGACAGAGCUACAAGCUCUAUCUUGCAUGUCAACAUCCUUGCUCAGCCUCUUGGUUGCCUAGUCUCUUGGCCUACUAACCUCUUAAAAUAUCAUCUCGCCUAGUACAUGACCAAUCUCCUCGCAUAGCUAACAACAAGUCUUCUCGCCUAGCACCAUCAAGCCUCCUCACCAAGCUUCCUAUGCCUUAAAGGUUGUUUCGCUUCUCAACAACUCUGGGCCACAAAACACUCCACAUUACUUUGGCUAUCUAAUGCUUGCCCUUGAUAGUUAGCCAUUUUUCCAAAUUUUCUUCCUUUUUUCCAAAUUUUCUUCCUUCCUUAACCACUUUACCCUUAAAGAAACUCAAGGGUUCUUUAACCUAGAGUUUACAUGCUUGAACUCGAUCAAUAUAGCAGAGUCAGAUUGAUAUUAUAAUGCCUAAACUUGGUGAUAGCUGGCUAGGUGGUCAACAAAGCCCCAUACCUAAUGAUACUCUGUGCACAUUGACCCUAAAUAACUUGGUGUAUAGAAUGAACAUUGUUUAGAACUCUAUUUUUACUUAAAUCUUAUUUAAACUAGUAACUCAAAUCUCUUUUAGAAAUAACGGUAAAAAAUAACUAUUCUUAAAGCAUAGCGUUCAUAUCUUGUGUUUGAAAUAAACACAUGGUUACUUAUAAAUCUCUUUCAGAAUUCAUUCUCAUAAAUCAUGCUUGGAAAUAGUCUAUAAAUCAUGUUUUCACACACUCAUGCUUUUAAACAUUUAUAUUGAAAUUCAUGCUUACUAAACAUCUGUAAAAUCAGUAAGGAAUUAUCAUUUCAUAAUUCUAAAACAUGCUUGGAAAAACAUUUAUCUUUAAAGUCAAAUUUAUAAAUAAGUAUUAAAAAACAUUUGCCACUUACAAAAGGUUGUCACACCCCCUCACGUAGCCCUUCCCUAAACUCCUAACCUAACUCCGAAAGCGAGUGUGAUGGUUGACAAGUAUUGCUAUAUCUUGACAACACUCACCAACCAACUAACCUACCUAACUCAACUAGUAGUCACAAGACAAAUGCAUGCUUUAAAGAAACAAACAACACAAGCUAAAUGUUUUGGUAUCAACUUGUGUCAUGAUCCACCUCAAAAUCACUUCAUGUGAUCCAGUAGACAUUCAAUGCGUAUCAUUUUGCGUGAUAGCACAUUGAAUGCCUUGCAAACAAAAAAAAAACUUUUUAAACUAAUCUCAAUGCAAAGCUUUAACAUAAACUCAAGAGACUUAUGCAACAGAAUGCAGUAGAAAAAUGACAAAAGAACAUCUUUUUAUUCCUUAACAACUAACAAUUAGAUACAAUUGUCACGUGGUUACUUUUUCAAAGUAACAAAUGUGUGCAAAAUGGUGUUCUUAGGCAUUAUAGAAGAACCAAAGUAAGUCUUCUUAGAGGUUAAAUAUUUGCUAGAAUUUUAAAGGACUUAAGAGAAGGAAAACUAGUAGGCAAAGACUACAAAGACUUUGAGAGAAUGAGUACAAGGGCUUUAUCUAUGAUUUCCCAAUGAUGAUUACAAAUGGAAUCCCUUUAGGGUAUUUAUACAAGAGGCACACUGACUUAUGACACUUAAACCACCAUAGUAGGUCGAUUAAAAUACAUAUAGAGCUUUCUCGAGCAUCCAUGACGCUUCUAACUGACAUCAAAGGUUUCUUAACUAUCAUAGAAGGUUUUGAACACGUCUAACUGUGUUUGGUGCCACAAAGGAUCUUUUGUCUUCCAUCUCUUAGUGUGCAUUUCGCUCAUUGCUUAGCCUUUCGUAUAUCAUCAAAUCUAUUAGAAAGUUUGAAGGACGUCACAGAUCUUCUAGGCGAGCGCCAUCAAGGCACGUGCGCUUGCCGUCAUGCGAGCAUCCAUCUCCAUCUCUGUCACGAGCGACCUUGUUAUGCUAGAGCCAUAUGCAUGUGGCUGGGUCAUGUGCAUGGUUGUGUGAUAACUUGUAGAAAUACAAGUUAUUGUAGCCUUUUGAGUAAACCAAAGGUGCAUGAUGGCUAUCUUCUUAGACUUCUUGGAGAGAUUGGUUGAGAUAUUUAUGGAUGACAUCUUAGUAUUUGGGGAUUCUUUCAAGGAAUGUCUAAACAGUCCAAAGGAAGUAUUGGAGAAGUGUGAAGAGACAUGGCUCGUAUUGAACUGAGAGAAGUGUCACUUCAUGGUCAAAGAAGGAAUUGUACUAGGCACAAUAUCUCUAACGUGGGACUAAAAGUGGACCCUGCAAAGAUCGAUGUAUGGUUAGCAAGUUACCACCUCCUUGUGAUGUCAAACCAUUUUGAUGAAAAAUGUAACCAUUCAUUUCAAGCCUUAAAAGACACAUUGACUUUAGCGCCUAUCCUUAUCACACCCAAGUGGUCAUAACCAUUUGAACUCAUAUGUGAUGCGAGUGAUGUAGCCAUGGAGGCCAUGCUAGGUCAAAAGAAGAACAAGGUGAUCCGUCUAAUCUAUUACGCAAGCCAAACCCUUAAUGACACCCAAAAAAAUUAUACUACCAUUGAGAAGGAAUUGCUCACAGUAGUAUUCGCAGUAGAAAAAUUUAAGAGCUACAUUGUGGGCUCUAAAGUUACGUUGCACAUCGAUCAUUCUUCGAUUAAAUAUCUCAUGAUGAAGAAGGACGUCAAGUCGCUGUUAAUAAGAUGGGUUUUAUUGAUUUAAGAAUUUGAUUUGGAGAUCAUAGACCGCAAUGGCACCGAAAACCAGGUGGUAGAUCAUCUAUCGUGUCUUAAGAAUGAAGAGUUCCAACGAGAGAAGAUAAAUUUUGAAGAAAGACUCCGCUCUUCCGCAUUGAGAUAAAGGAACCCUGGUACGCAGAUAUAGUUAACUAUCUCGUUUGUAAAACAUGGACGCAAGACUUUAACAGCCCGUAGAGAAAAAUGUUAUUUCAUGAGUAUUAUUUUUAUAAGUGGGAUGAGCCCUUCCUUUAUAAAUUGGGACCAAAUCAAAUAUUAAGGCAUUGUGUCCCUGAAUAUGAAACAAUUGACAUAUUGGCCAAGUGUCAUGAAGCACCCUAUGGAGGGCACUUUAGUGGACAAAGGAUAGCUGCAAAAGUCUUGCAGAGCGGGUACUUCUAACCCAUUCUUUUUUAGGAUGCGAGGAGCUUUUGUGGUCAAAUGUGAUCAGUGUUAGAGAACAGGGAAUAUGACUCGAUGUAAUAAAAGGCCCCAACAACCCAUCUUAGAAAUUGAACUAUUUGAUGUGUGGGGAAUUGACUUUAUGUGACAUUUUCCUCAAUCUGGAAACCAUGUGUACACCUUGUUAAUUGUAGACUAUGUAUCGAAAUGGGUUGAAGCAAUAUCCUGUGCCAAGAAUGAUGCGAUUAUUGUUAGCAACUUACUGACAAAGAACAUCUUCACGCGAUUUGAGACCCCUUGAGCUAAUAUUAGCGAUAAAGGAUCACAUUUCCUUAAUCACAUCAUAACCAAACUGCUAGCGUAGUACAAUAUAACCCAUAAAAUAAUCACCGCCUACCAUCCUCAAACAAAUGGAUAGGCAAAAGUGUCCAACAGAGAAUUUAAAAACAUCUUGGAAAAAGUGGUAAAUCACUCCCGAAAGGAUUGGGUGAAUCACAUAGAUUUUGCAUUAUGGGCAUAUCGCACAACAUACAAGACACUGAUUGGAAUGUCCCCUUACAUGAUAGUCUUUGGGAAAGCAUGCCACUUACUGCUUAAGUUGGAACAUAUGACGUUUUGGGCAUGCAAAAAGUUAAACUUUGAUCAACACGCCGCAUGAGAAGCAAGAUUACUUUAAUUGCAUGAGCUUCAAGAGUGGUGUUCUUAAGCCUAUGAGAAUGCCAAAAUUUACAAGGAAAGGACAAAGGCAUGACAUGAUAACCUCAUCCAUAAACAUGAAUUUAACAUUGGUUAGAAAGUAUUAUUAUUUAAUUCACGUUUGCAUUUGUUUUCGAGUAAGCCCCUUUAACGUUGGUGUGGUCCAUUUUUGGUCAAGUAAGUCUUUCCAUAUGGUGUAGUGGAGAUCACAUAAUCAGAUGGAACAAUUGCGUUUAAGGUAAACGGACAAAGGCUCAAUGCGUACAUCCUUAUCGCUUUAUUUUUAUUUCUUCUUCUUGCUUAGUUGUUUAUUUUCUUAUUUCGAUUGAAUUGUUUUUCAUAUUCUCUAUAGCUUUACAAACUUCUUUUAAUCGCAUCUUUUAUGUAUUGCUCUCUAUACCACAUGUUUCUAUCGCUUUAUAACCUUAGGAUGGUUAGAAGUCUUUUGUGCUUUUGAAAAAUCAUUGGACAACAUACCGUUAUUCGAGAAAUCCAAGGACAAUAACGCGAUGGAAAACGAGGUGGCAUGCUUUGAAAUUUUGAAAUUUUAAUAGCCUAGGAAAUUGUGCUUUGCGUGAGAAAAGCGAGAUGUUUUCAUCAAACGAUCACUCAGGGCUUUGAAGAGACACGUUGACCCGUGCCAGAUGCAAUUAAUGACGUACUAUUACCCCUUACCAGAUAUAUAUCUGAAGCGCUUCCUUUUACAUUUUUCCUUACAAUUUAUCACGCUUAGGAUUUUUCAUUUUUAAACCCUUGCCGAAAAUUUCUUCAUCUCAAUUUUCUCUUUAUCUGUCCAUUUCCAAUGGCCGACAAGCACUAGACAGCCUCUGAAAUCACCCAAAUUACUAAAAGCCCUUAGUAGACAGACGUUUCGUUCUCACCAAAACCACUCAAACACCCAAAAGUCUAAAAAACCGCCAAAACUUCUUCUCAGAAAUCUAGACAUGAGGAGUCUAGGAAAAACAUAAUCUUCAAGCUACACACCCACCCCUCAACCCAAAAUCAAACCCACUUCGUUAGACCUAGUUUGCCUAACAUCCACCAGCAACUCCAUUACAUAAGCUGAAGGUGGGAUGAGGCGAGAAGAAAAUAUAUAUUCAAAAUUAUCGAAUUUGGGAACAGGGAUGGAAGCCAUAAAUCUGGAGGACAGAUGACUCCAUUACAAACACUUAAAAACAGGGCUGGAAAAGUACUUUUGGGGCAUAAGGAACCAAGCACAGAGAUAAAUCUACACAUUCCUUCUCAAUUCUCAGGACUAGUUAUGAAACUCGUAGAAAAAUUACAAGUCGCUGAGAACACGAAGAGGGAAGUGGAAGAGAAGAAUAUGGAAGAUGCAGAAAGAAUUAGAAAGAAGAAAGAGGAAGAAAGAGCCCUCUGCGAGGAAAGAGCAAGAAAAGAAGAGGAAAGAAUAAAAGAAGAUGAAGAAAGAAGAAAUAGAGAAGGCUUGCAUAAAGCACAAACGAUGAAGAAAAAGAAGGAAUAAGAAGAAGCAGACAGAAGACAACGAGAAGUUGUCCACGAAGAGGAUGAACGUCUUCACAAGAUGUCUAAGGAGAAAAAGCAAAGUGUGCCUUCUUGGCGGAAGCAAAAAGCAAAUUGACAUAGAUAUAGACUGCUAACAAAAAGAAACAGGAAAAGCUCGUGAAACUGGGUGAGUAAGUAGAAAGAUUGGCCAUAAAAAAUAAGGUGGUAAAGCAGCAAGUGAUGGAUCACAUGGAUAUAGUGGCAGAGGAACUCAUAAGAGAGUUAGGAAGUAUGAGCCCCACGAAGACAAAGUUGGGACCAGAAGAUCUAGGGCUCAUCAAUGCCAAAAAAUCGAAAAAGGGUAAAAGCAAGGCAGAGACUUCUAAACGGGAGAAUAUUCAAAAUAGGAAGAAACUGAACGCCCAAAAAAUGGAUAAAUUAAUAAUAGUUGAAAAGGGUUGUUCCCUUUCAGCGAGUCCCUACCAGACUUUCUCUAUGUGCCAAUAAAAAUGUUGAAUUGGGAAAAAAUCUUUGUUGGCGAGACCAAAGUCCAAUUAGACCUGGUCAACAUGUUUUAUGCGGUGAAAUUCCAUCCUGAGGAGUCAUAUGCAAUAGUGGAAGGGGAAAAAGUUAUGUUCACUAUCGAAGCAAUAAACGAGUUAUAUGAUUUACCUCAAGACCAUGAUGCUUACCCUAGCUAAAGGAUUUUUGAUCGACUGACAAAAGGUGAUGCAACAAAAGUGAUAACAGUGAUCACGUGGCCAGGGGUAGUCUGGACGUUGAUACCAAUUGAGAGGCUUCGUCUUUUCUCACAUCACUUGAUAACUGUAGCUAACGUCUGACAGUUUUCCAUUAAAAAAGAGUUCUCCCAACUUGCCAUGGCAAUAUAGUUUCUAUUGAAUACGCAUUGUUGUUGUACUGCAUUAUGACAAAACAAGCGUUUAAUCUAGGGCAUGUCAUGAAUAGGGCCUUCCUUGGUUGGCUGACACAACCCAAAGGUGCCAAGCCAUUCCCAUCCACGAUAGAAAAAUGGCAGGAGGCAAGUACAACUUGGCGAGCCUUAACCGUAUCAUUAAUGUUCAUCAGAACAAAGAAGAAGAUCACCGCCUAUAAACUCAACUAGAAAGAAUAGACGAGGAUAAUGAAAAUGAGGAAUCUCCACCAUCUUCGUCGCUUAAAAAGAGACUACUAGCAAAAAGGACAGAAAUAGUCUUACAUGAUGAGGAUUAAGCCAACAAGAAACCCUUGCGAGAGAGGUGAAGAAAGUUAAAAGUCAAAAGGAUCCUUGUUGAAGAUUCCUUUACUUAUUCGCUCCUCAGUGAUCUUUCCCUACAUGCGCCCUCUUCGUCUGAUAGAUUUGAUGAAAUUGACCCAUUUCAAUCUCAUUAAAAUAUUAAAGGUAGCCCUCCCCCACUUCUCACUGAAGAAAUAGUUAACCCACCUCUACCAACUGAACCGUUUCUGCUUACAUCUCUCAAAUCUCCCAGUCGUCGAAGUCCUUGCCUGACUGUCACCUCCAAAGUCCAUCUCUCUCAUCCUUCACCAACGAUGGGCUCCUCACUUGAUAAUACACCAUCUCCAACCCUUUCCCAUCACAGCCAGCCAUUUUCCCCACAUUCUUGACUCCCCAAGGCUCCUCAUCACGACGAGUAUCUGUCGCCUGGUCACACACCUAUUAAUCCAAACCUACCCGGUACCAAUCUGGAUUCUAUACACAUUAAUCUGAAUGUUCCAGUGGUCAUGUUAACUGGCGAGAGUAUUUACACUGAAGAUGAAGAGGUGAUGGACCCGACAUUUCCUCAGGUAGUUUAUGACCCACUCUUCCAAACUACACUUGAUGUAGAAGAUGCAUGCAAGACACAAUCAAACAAUGCAUCAAUCAUGGAGGAGGAAGUACAAAUCAAAUACGAAUGCCAAGAGAAACACGAAAACAUUGAACCCGCUACAAAAAACCACAAUAGUUUUCAUGAUAUACCUCAUAAUGUCAUUAUGAAACCCAUGCAUGCAACAUUUCAAGAGUUACUUUAAGAGAAUGUGGUGAUGAAGAAUCAAAUCACAAACCUCAACACUCUGGUGCAAGGAUUAGAAGCCACAACCUCAACUCUAACCUCCAUGGUAACGUAACUCUCCUAUGCUCUCACUAAUCUAACUAAUUUGAUGAUUGCACACUCGACCUAAUCGUGCAACAAUGUGGAAAGGCAAGAUAGGCAAGUCGUAGCUCAAAUGGAAUAUACACAUGUUGUGUUUAACUAGUGUGUACCGCAACCUAUUAUUGCUCCAAAAUUGAUCGCACCAUUCCCUCCCAUUCAAAUUCAUGGUGCGACUCUAGAUGAUGCCAAACCAAAUCCUCGCCUAGAGGACUAAAUUUAAGGGUGAUUUUUUUGAAUCUUUUGCAUUAUAGUAUUAAUAUUUCAGACUAGUUCUUUUAAAUAUAUGUUACUCAUACAAUUUAAUGAAAUUGUUAUUUUCUCUCUAUGGUAUUGUUACUUAUGCGGUAGACUAAUCUCGACGCAUGCCUCAUUUAUCAAUUCUUUGCUUGCUUUCCUGUGUUCUGCGUCAAGAUAACCUUCAUGAGGAAAAUUAUUCUAAGACUAAUGAUCUAGUACCUAGAACUGAAACUUUCCCUAGCGAAAUACACUUUGUAAAUAGUUUUUUUAGUCUUUAGGUAAGCAAGCUUUACCUCAAACCUCUUUUGUAAAUUUUUCAAGGUUCAUCUUAUCAUUCACUUUUUUGCAAUGAGGACCUUGCACCAGUCUUAACUUGGGGGGGUGUGCGAGGUCCGAGUCAAAGCCUUUAAAAAAUCAAGGAACCCAUUCCUUUUUGUAAAAAAAAAAAAAAAACUAACAAAACUAACCCAUUUGUUGUUCCUAAACGCAACCAAAACAAGAACUCCUAUGUUGUCGCCUCUCACACAAGUAAAUAAGAAGCAAAGCUUCAUCAAAAGCUGAGAGUAAAUAAAUAAGUGGCCAUAAAAGUUAUAGUUGAGGAGAGGAAUGGACUCAUUGAGUUGCUAAGAUUUCUCACUCAACACUAAAUUUAAAUAAGUAAAAUAUUUGUCACACAAUAUAAGAAAAGAAAGGAACAAAUAAUUUUUUAAAACGAAGACCAUUUCGCAAAAAGAGAAAAUAAGAUUUUCUGAAAAUAAACAAGGAUAUUUUGGGAAUUAAGCUUGCCGCAUAGAGAAUCUAGAAAUAUUUUCAAAUUUAGAGUAGGUGAAGAAAAGAACAAAUGUCAGUGUACGUUGGAAUUAGAAAAGGAUUCUGAAAGGUUUAGCGAUGAGCAUAGAAGAAAUCAGGAACAAAAUUCUGAGAUGAUGCUUGAGGACAAACAUUAUUUUAAAUUUGGGGUGUGAUAACUUGUAGAAAUACAAGUUAUUGUAGCAUUUUGAGUAAAUUAACGAGGUCUCAUCGCAUGGAAAGAGAAGAAAAUAGAGAAAAAGGUAAACAAUUUGGUUAUCUUAUUAAUCACAUAAUAGCUCAGUGAGAACAUGUUUAAGUGAGAGGUCUAACACAAUCUUCAAGGAAAUAGAAGUACGUGCUAUGUAAUUAAGGCAAUAGCAGAAAACAUCGGUUGGCGAGAAAUUCAGAGAAAGGACAAAGGAUGCCUAAGCAGCGCCGGAUACAGCUUUUCAGAGGUUUCAAUAGCAGGUGGUGGCCUGUCAACAUCAGUCCUCGUAUAUAUAAAGUGUCUCACUACUCAAUCAAUGUGCAAAUUUUGGUUGGAAAAGCAAGUUUUUUUUUUCACCAAUUUAUCUCCCUCCUUUUAGUAUUAAGUGGAAGCUUGCAACAAAGGAGAGAGAGAUCCAUCUCUUCCAUUGUUCCCCACAUAUAUAGGCAAAACUCGGAGCCAAAGAGUACGCGAGAUCGCACUCUGUGGUGUAACUCAUCUGUUGUCUGUUCAUUUUGUACUUUUAUAUUGUAUUGUUUCGUAAACUAAACUUCAUGGAUGAAAAGUUUACCAUAUUUUCUAUGAAAGCAAUGCAUUUCUUCUUCCACUCUCCCAUAUUUCUUGUCCAUCCAUAUCUACAUAGUUGGUUGACUGAAUAGUAAUAGUUGAUGUUUGUGAUAUUCUGAGAAUCAUAAUGAGUGCAGCAAGAGUUCUGCUCCGCUAAGUGUGAGUAUCUCAACCUCGUUCCUUCGAAAGAAGGGCUUGAGUGGAGAUCGUAAUCACUAAAUAAGUGAAAACCACUUUUAGCAGAAUAGGUGGCAGGGAGAAUACAGCUGAGCAUUCUUGUCACCAAGUUCAUACUUUGCAUACAACACUGAAAGAUUGGUGUGCGUGUUGAAAGUCACCUUGGCCUCUUCAGUAACUAUAUUCCUGGCUUUGAAAUAUACUGUUCAAUAUCGAUAAUAAAGUUUUCCAACGCCUUUGCAUCCCUCUCCCCAUAGAAGGGCUUGGGUUCAAGAUUCUUGAUUCUGCCAACAGAGAUGGCUCCUUCAGCUGGAGCCUGGUUUGCUAAUGCUCGCAUAGUAAGGUUCACCCUCGUGUUCACCUUUGUGAUCUCAUUUCUCACGACAUCGAGGGUUGCUCAAAAAUCCUCUGCCAUGUCGUUUAUCAUCUCCAACAUAUUCUUUUGCGAGUUAUCGAGCUCCAUAACUCGUUCUUCCAUUUGGGCGAUAGAGCCCGAUGAACUGUUCCCAUGCUCGUAGGUGACGUUUCCCGUUGUCACAAUUCGGGAUUCCAGAGUGUCAACUCUAGUAAGCAAUUCCUGUAUGGGUAAUCCGUCGAGAUGACCGGACACCACUUCAAUGCCAUCGGUUUUCUUGGCAACAUCCUCAAGUCGCUUUUCUAAAAAUCGGAUGGAAUUAGGAACUUCCACCAGGUAGAUUCCCACAAGUUGUUCAAUAUGGGUCCUGCUAGACUGUUUCGCCAUUGAUAUCUUUAUGUCUCAAACUGUCAACUAGCCAACUUGGCUCUGAUACCACUUGUCACAAUCACAACAUUUCAAACACGAGACAAGCGACUGUGCGACACUUGUUCGAUCCUCUCAACAAGUCAGCCGAUCAAAAUUCAAAAAUUGCGGACAAACUCAACGUACGAUUCACCCUCCAUCUACUUUUUUGAAAAAAUGUUUUAGAAAACGUGAGAGAGAAAUAAAUUCAUUGAAAUCGUUAUUAAAACAAGCUUUGAAGACUGUUAAUUGCAAUAAGAAAACAUAGAUUGCAAAGAGUAUGACAAAGCUUAGGCGGGGAUUCAACAUGUAUGUCUCUCCUAUAGUACAUUUUGAACAUUUUCAGCUCUGGUAGACUUGCAUAUGAAAAUGCUGAAACUUGAAAAUGAAGGCAACUAGCUAAACUAUGUACAAAACAUAAAGAUAAGAUAAAUUUGGGGUAUUCGAAACAUAUGACCAUAGGUAAACACAUCCUGGACAAGUAUGCCCGUUACACCUAGCACACUCUUUUCUCGCCCAAAUAACCUCUUUAGAGGGUAUUUUAACCUCUUUUGGCCGCUUACCAAGGCCAAAAUGCCUAGCCUAUGGACUCUGAUACAUAUAUGUUAUUUUAAAUUUGAGUAGCCCUUUGAUAGAUUUUUAUAUCUAUCUGAUGAUAGUCAUAUAAUAUAUCAACUUAGUUUGCAAUAACCUCUAAUACAUAUGCGUUAUUUUAAAUUUGGGUAGCCCUUUGAUAGUUUUUUAUAUCUGUCUGAUAGCACCAUGAUAUUUUUUUAUAUAUGUCUGAUAGCACUAUGAUAUAUCAAAUUAGUAUGUGAUGGAUACAUAUGUGUUGUUUUAAAUUUGGGAGCUCUCUAAUAGAUUUUUAAAUAUGUCUAAUAGUCGUAUGAUAUAUCUAAUUAGUUUGUGAUACAUCUUUGAUACAUAUAUGUUUCUAAGUUUGGGUAGCCCUCUGCUUUUUGAUUACUUCUACAAUACCAUCUUCUACUUUUUGACCACCAUGUAAUUACAAAAAAGUCUUCACAAGAAGAUAAGUCAUCUGAAUCAGUAGAACAUUAAUGACCAAAAUGAAAAGUAAAGCCAACACCCAAGGGCUAUUGCUUUGAAAACUGGAAAGAAACACAAAUCUCCCCAAAGAAAAGAAAAGUAAAGCCAACACUCAAAAUUGAAUACGAAAUCGUAAACGAAAAGAAGAAAGAAGAUGCUGAAAUCAAAAUCAUCGAACACAAAAAAAGAAGAAAAUAUUACGAAAUCAAAAUCCUCACAAGGUUUAUGAUACACACCUCAUUCUUUAUAUUAGAAUAUUAGUGACAAUUGAUCGAAACACUUAAAUUUAAAUGUGUUAUUUGAUUCCUUCAUCACCUACCGAUUAUUUGCACUAUUCAAGAAUAGAGAUACAGCAGCUACAAAUUGUAUCAAUUACAGGAUGAUCCGUCGAUUGAAUCACAAAGAGGGUAGCACCAACAUACCAGAUACAUAGUCAUGGAUGAAGUUGAUAAAACAAAAAUUCAAGUGUACUAAAUUUAGCAUAAAAAUUGAAAUUAGAAUGAAGUUGAAACUUAAAUUAGUGUAGAAGGAAAAAGCUGAAACAAAUAAAAUUGAAAUUAGAACCUUAUUUUUGUGGGAAUGAAGUCGAAGAAUAAAAAAAUCUUGGAGUAGAAAAAAUUGGUGAAAUAUUGAAGCGUUGGAUGCUUCGAAAUCUUGGAGUUAGAUGAGUCGAAAUCUUGGAGCUUGUCAAAAUCUUUGUCAAUGUUCUAGGGUUGAGAAACAAAGAAGAAAAAAAUUGGGGAAACAUAGCGAAGAAGAAUGAGGAGUGGCAGUGGCGGUCGUAGCAGUGGACCGAGGAGAAGAACGAGAAGUGGAGUUGGUGGAGACGUCGUACAUGAGUGAGGAAUUAAGAGUGGGGUUGGCCGGGUGAGACGACUGAGUGAGUGAAGAAGAUGAGAGAGAAUCUAAAUUUGGUUGUGGG